UCAUUUCCAUUAUAUUUCUGUGCUUCUUCAAUUUCCCGUACUAAAGAUUUGACACCAUCUCCGCAAAAACUCACCUUAAUUGUUUCAAGAGUAGAUAUACGCCCAAAACAAGCAGGCACCAUUUUCAAGCUAAAAAUUUUGAGGAGUUUUAAUUGCUGAAGGCACGGGAAGUAAUCAUCAUUCAUCACUAUCAGGGUCUGUCUCUAUCCACUCAACAAUCUCUAGAGAUUGCAAAGUCAAGACCCUGAGUUUAGGGAAUCCUCCUUCCACCAGCUCCCAUUUUUUGCCGUCCAUUGACCGCUGUCUUAAUUUGAGGAGUUCAAGAUUGGGUAGUUGUUCAAUCAAUGACAUUUUUCUACAGGGAAGACUCAGAGCUUCAAGACUCAACUCUUUCAAAUUCAUGGGAAAAGAAAGCUAAACAUGUUCCCGUGAACCUAAGAAGCUGUAGCCACCUAAGGUGAGUGACUCUAGGCACUCCAAAAUUGAGUUCUCCAAACGCAUUGUACCCGAAACGGAGCAUGGAUUUUUCCCCAGUUUCACUCUCAAAUUUUAAGGGAGAAACAGAUCUCGCCGACUGGAGAGCACGCAAGUAUUUCUUUCCUGAAAUUUCUUUUUUCCAGUGGGAAGGUGAAGAAGAGUAAUGAGAUAAUAAGUUAUUCAACAGACAAACGGAGCAAGACCAAGAAAGAACAGAUGAAUCAAAUUUAACGAGAGAGCGGUCAAAUAAGCUGGAAAUGAUGUUGGUUUGAAUAAAGUAAAAGGAAUUUUAUUGACUAACAGCAAAAUAUCUGAAUAACCUUUAAGCGGCCGUGCAUAUUGAUAAAAUGGUGCACGGUGUACAAAUCUCAUUGAUUGUUUCCACCGUGUCUUGACAAGAAAAGAGCCAUCGAUCCUUUCAAUUUUCACCUCAAUCUUCCACAAAAGCACCAAAGAAAGCCAGACCACCCAAAUGACCUUCACACUCCCUGAUGAAAUAUCAUCAAGAAAAAAUAGAGCAAUAAUUAGUUGUUUGUUCAUCAAUUUCAUUGUGCUCGUGCACGCACUACAGGCAACUGAAGUAGUACAAAAAAGCUACCAAAAUGUCAAUAAAAAUUAAACUCCCUUAAAUGAAAAAAAGCAUGAUUAUUUCUACAAGCCAAUUAAUGGUAACGACAAAAAAAAUUACCAGAUAUUGCACCAGCUCAAUCUAUGAUGAUGACCUUCAGAUUCUCAUUUCCAUUAUAUUCCUGUGCUUCUUCAAUUUCCCUCACUAAAGAUUUGACACCCUCUCCGCAAGAACUCACAUUAAUUGUUUCAAGAGUUGAUAUACGCUGUAGACAAGCAGGCAUCAUUUCCAAAUUAGAAAUGCUUUGGAGUUUUAAUUGCUGAAGGCACGGGAAGUAAUCAUCACUGUCAGGGUCUGUCUCUAUCCACUCAACAAUCUUUACAUAUUCCAAAGUCAAGACCCUGAGUUUAGGGAAUCCUCCUUCCAUCAGCUCCCAUUUUUGGCCGUCCAUUGAACUGGUCUCUUAAUCUGAGGACUUCAAGAUUGGGUAGUUGUUCAAUCAAUGACAUUUUUCUACAGGGAAGACCCAGAUUGAAAGGCUCAACUCUUUCAAAUUCAUGGGAAAAGAAAGCUCAACAUGUUCCCGUGAACCUGAGAAAUACUUGCCCCCUAAGGUGAGUGACUCUAGGCAUUCUAAUCGACUCAUGUUGCAGCAUACUCUAUUUCGUCCCCCACAAUUGAAAAUUUGAAGUUGGUGAACGUUGGGAAUCCUUCUCAAUAUGUUCUCUCCCUCUUGAUCAAGAUAAAGACACAGAUUUGAGAGUGUGUCUAAAUCGGGUAAAGUGGAGAGGUUUUCAACAACGUUGUCGCUGGAAGAGAGAAGAAUAAUGCAGUUACGCUGUACAUGUACAUGCCUCAACUUCUUCAUGUUCCAGAUGCUAUCUGGCAAUGAAACCGUCGUGCAAGAAUUUAGACGGAAGGUUUCCAAAUGUGAGAGCUUGGCUAUAGAUGGUGGAAUGAAUUCCAUGGGCUGAGCUGUACGAAGGGCUAAGUACCUCAAACAAAGAAGUGAUUCGACUUCAGCUGGAAGCUCCUUCAACAUUAGGUUAAUGUCCUCUAAAUUCAAAACUUUAAGACGUUUGUAGAUGCAAAAAGGAGGAGAUAUUAAGCAUCCCAAACUUAUCUCCUCGAGUAGCAUUGAAGAAUAGCAGAGUAUCUAAAUCUGGACAAAAUAGUUUUGACUUUAUAAAAUCUUCUUCACUGCAGCAAAUGGACAACCGAUGUAGGUUGGGAGGCUCAUUAAAGAUAGAAAGCUCAUCAUAUCCACGCAGGAUCUGAAGAAAAUUUUUUUCUUUCGCCACAGUCUUACAGAACUCUAAUAUCAAAUCGUGAAUGUAACAAGUUUUGCCUCCACCAAUGGAUCUGUUUUCACUUACCAUAACUAAGUUUCGAUGAAUUAGGUCCAUCAGAUAUUCUUCUGCAAUAUCCUCUGAUCUCUUUCCUUCAAUUAUUUCCACGAACCCUUCUGCAAUCCAGAGACACAUCAACUUCUUGGCACCAAUUUUUUCAUCCUCUCGAAAUGCAGCAAAAUACAGCAAGCAUGCCUUCAAGUGAUAUGGUAAAUGCUCAUAACUGAGCUCCAUCGACUUUUUGCAUUGUUCUGCAUCAGACACCGUGGUUGAACUUAAACUUUCAGCAAAUCCUUCCCAAACACAAAUAUCAUGCUCUAUAGUUGCUAGGACUCCAGCUGCAACAACAAUUGAAAGUGGCAAUCCUUUGCACUUUUUGGCGAUCUCCAUUCCCAAUCCAUGAAUGCUUGAGGACAAUCUUCUUUUCCAAAAACCUUCUUCUGCAGUAAUUCCCAACUUUCUUUCUCACUGAGUGGGCGAAGAUUGUGAGGUUUCCCCCCAUAUUCAACCUGUGAAGCCACAUUAGAAGAUCGACUUGUGAAGAUGAUUCUACUUCCUUUCUUGUCAUCCGGGAAUGAAAUUCCCAGCUCAUUCCAUACUUCAAUGUCCCAGACAUCAUCAAAAACAACAAGAUACCGAUUCCCCUUCAGCUUUUGGUAGAGCUUUUGAAGCAACGCAUGUUCAUCCAGAUUUUGAAACUCAUCAUCCAUCCUCGAAUGUUUGCCAUCAGAGUGUAAAAUUUGAAGUAACACAUUUUUCAUGUUAUAGGCUUGAGAAACUAUACACCAAAGACGAAUGUGGAAGUUAUAGAUUACUGAACUAUCAUUGUAAACUUUUUUGCUAAAGUUGUCUUACCAAGCCCAGCCAUUCCCACAAUGGGAACAAUUUCCACCUGUUUUGAUCCGCUUACAAGUCGUUCAAUUACUUUUUCUGCCUCAUCAUCAAGACCAACCAUGACUUCAUGGGCUAUUGGCAUUUUACCUUUUGAUAGCAUGUGGGUGGAAGUCUUGCUAACUUCUGGUGCUCUUAAGCUAUGAAAGGAAGGAAGACUUUCAAUAACGCUUGAGCCACUGAUCUGAUCCUUAAAAUGCUUGAGAUGGGUGUUGGUAUUAGCCAGCAUAUCACAACAGUCAAGGACCUCUGUGGAUUCUAGAAGCUAACUUCUCCUUCCUUCACUCUGUUUAGAGAAGGCGAGCAAAUUAUAAUGCCUGCCUCACAAAAAGAGCACCAAUUUUUUCGUUUUGCUCAUUCAUCUUCUCCUGCUGCUCCCUUAAAAUGCUUCUCAAAAACCUCAGUCCUGCAUAGAGUAUUGGCAUUUCAUCUUUCAUAGAAUCCAUAAAGCUAGAGCUGCAGCAUAACAGCUCCCAGAGACGACUUAUCAGAGAAUCAUUGAAGUUGUUCAAUAUCUGCUUAUCCAUCAUUCUAUUAUGCAAUGAUUUUGAGGAUCUUGUAGCUUUAAGAACUUCCAUAUAAAUCUCAUAGACUUGAAAAUCAAUAGGUGUGAUUUUCUGUUGUUGCUCAUAUAUCAUGGAGCAGAACUGAGGAUUGCAGAACUCAUCAUCCCAACAAGAACACAUGUAAGAGAGCGUGCUGCGUUCAAAGUCACCACUUCAAAGUGAGCCAACAGCAAGGCAGGAAUAUCUACAGUUCCUCGCAAUUUGGCAAAGGGAAUGAAGCUUUUCAAGAAUGUUAGCUUUGCUUCAAGGGCUUGGACUUGAGCACCAACUUGGGGAUCCAUUUCAACAAUACACAAAUCGCUAGUUGUUAAAUCCGCUAGAUUUUGUAGAAUGAGGUCUAUAAAUUCCAUUAGUUCAUCAACUGGCAUGCAAGAAUUUGAUUCCAAUGAUCUGCUGCUUGCCAAAGCAAAAUAAACUUGGAUGAUUGCUUGCUUAAAUGAUUUGAUCUGUUUCAAAAAUUUAAAAAACACUUCAUCGCCAACAUCACGUAUGCCAAGUGCAUCAGAUUCCAACAUAAGGCAAAGAGAGUGAAUGUCCUCCUCAUAUUUGUGAACGGUAUCUUCAAUGCAAGAUAAAAAAGAUGGAAGACUCACCAAGUCCAGAUCAUUGCAGUGUCUCCACUUUCUUGCACACAUAACAAAUGUUCUGAGAAAUGUUAUGUUCAGGUACGCAGCUUCAAUUUUGAGAAAUGUUACACCCACGUCCGUAUAUCCAAUUUUGCCUGUUCGUAACAUGACAUUGAGGUCGUCCAUAAGCAACUUUAGAUCAAGGAAGACAUGAUCGACGCUGCAAGUGGAGGCCACGUCCAUCUGUUGUGCAGGGAUUUUUCCUUAGUUUCACUCUCAAAUUUGGAGGGAGAAAAGAUCUCGCCGACUGCAGAGCAAGCAGCCGAAAUUUUUUUUCUGGUGGACAGUGAAGAAGAGAAAUGAGAUAAUAAAUAUUAUUCAACAGACAACGGAGCAAGAUCGAGAAAGAACAGAUCAAUCAAAGUUAACGAGAGGGAGCGGUCAAAUAAUCUGGAAAUGAUCUUGGUUUGAAUAAAGUAAAGAAAUUUUAUUGACUACAACUGCAUAGUUUUUUGGAGUUUUUUUUUUUUUUUUUGAAAUACUCAUUUCGUUGUUGAGAAGUGGACAUCGCACGUUAACAAAGGUACUGACUCAGACUGUUUUACAAUUUCGCGCAUUUUGGUAUAAUCAUCGCGUGGUAAAAUGUACCGACUCCCAUUCCCUUUGUACAAUUUUUCCCAUUGUACAUUUAUAUUGACUCAAAUUGAAAAUAACUAAAUCAAUAAGGGAAAAACCUUCCGAAAUCUAAAGUGGAAUACGUGCAAGUGGUGGGUCGGGUUUCAUAGAAUUAUUGGGAAUUGUUGGGAAUUAUUGCUGCACGUCCCUGUCCCUGUUUUUGCAAUAAUUCCAUAGUUUAAUAUGUUAAACUUUAUCUUUUGUCUUUUAGAGAGCUGUUAUCUUAUUUAGUGUGGGUAUAUUAGGAAGAACAAAAAAAAUAAACCAUCAAAAUAUAAAUGAUCCAGAGACUUUUAUUGGGAGGAGUAUAGAGAUAUAAAUACAAAUAUAGCUUUAACUGGUUUCUUUUCAUUUUUUUUUUAUUUCAGCAUGUAUCUUCAAGCUAGCUCUCUAGUUUUCUUCAAUUGUUUUCCUUCUCGAGCAAACCGCUAAAUUUGAUCACUUUCUCUUCUAAUUCUUUCAUAUUAAUAAUCAUGACCAUUGAUCUUGGAGAUUAAUAGCCAUGACCAACAAAGUAAAGAGUCUGGGAAAAAAUACGAGGGCUUCUUCAACCUUAAAAUUGUGGAAGCAGAGAAUUCGAGAUUUCUACAAUUACUAGUGUCAAUUAUAUCAUAAAAUAUACGUAUUAAUAUAAUAAAUAUAAAUGCUAAGAUAAUAAAUAUAAACAGUAAAACAAUAACUUGUAAAAUUAAUGUUACCAGAGUGCAUUAAUGUUACCAAAAUACUAUAGUCAAAGAGAUGAAUGGAUUAAAGAAGUGAAAAUUUCUACUAGCUAAUAGUAGUACUUCUUUUCAAGAGCCAGGACUUAAAUGCACGCUAAUUAUUUGUACAAAUUUAUUUACGUGAAUCAUAAAUAUAUUUUUCAAUCAUAGUUUUAUUUCACAUAUAUCAAAUCAAAAUAGUGACACAAUACUUUUCAAAAAAAAUUAUUCCAAAUAAUCUCAUAUUCAGACGCGAGUAUAUGCCCAUUUCAGUGUUACUUGGACCAUUGGAAAUUAAUUUUAGUCUUCUCACUAGUCUUUCUUCCACAUUCAGGGGGGGUCCAUUUGGAAAAUGAGAGAGAAGGGGACCGGUUGUUCUCGGGUCAAGCACGGCACCCAUAUUUUUAAAUGUUAGAUAUCAAUUCUUAAAUAUUUUUAAAUGUUGACGAAGAAUUAGUGACAAUGGUCUCAAGAGUCAGAACCGAAAUGUUACAGCUAUUAGAAAUCAAUUCAACUCUUAACAUCAGUCUUUCUUCCACAUUCGGGAGGUCCAUGUGCAGAAUUCGAUAGAUUGAUGAAGACCGGAUACUGUUCUGGUCAAGAAUGGCUACUGGACGGUCCCUUUUCUCGUUCUUUAAUUCAAGCUUUAGCCAUUAAGGGGCAAUGUUUUAGAUGGGAGAAGAUUUCAUUUACAAUGGCCUUGUGAUUCUAAACUGCUCCAAUUUUUAAUGUGUGAGCAACUAUAUUGAGGUUUUUGGGACCCGAACAAUUUUGGGCUAAUUGAUAUAUGUCGCAAGAACAUUUUCAUAUUCUCUUGUGGUUAAAUUUAAUAAUAUUAUACACAGCUAAUGAAUUGAUAAGGCUUUUAUAGUAUUGCAUUUAUCUCUCAGGUAAGACUACAAACGAAUCUCGUAAACCAGCUUUCUAGCAGCAACGACAACUGCCUCAAUAUUGGCUGGCUGAGCUCAAGCAGUUUGAUCAAAGUAUCAAAUCAAGUAGUUUGAUUAAGAAAAUACUCCCAAACCUCAUGCUAUAUAGACAUAAAUUUUAACAUUAGUACUGAUCGUCUAUUUUAAAUUCCUUCAAGAAAAAUAUUAUAAUUAAUAUCUACUUACAUAUGAGCUUAAUUAGAUCGGAUCUAUGCAAGUGGAGGUCAUCUCCAUCUCUUAUAAUGCAAGGAACUUCCUCAAUUUCACUCUCAAAUUUUAGUGUAGCAGCAUAAGGAGAAAUAUUAACAAAUCUCGCCUUCUCCAGAUCUAGCAAGUAUUUCUUUUGUGGAAUAUUCAAUUAUUCAACAAACAAACGGAGCAAGAAAGAAAAGAUUAACAAUUAACAACGUAGUGGUGACAGUAGUGUAGGAAUUACGAGAAAGUUGCAUCUCGGUUUGGAAAAGCAAAGAAUUUUUUAAUUCAUUACUUUAUGGUUUUUGAAUGAAUUAUUUCACUCUCAUUUUGUAGUUAAGAAGCACCAGUGUCGGCAUUGUCCACUAAGAAAGGGACCCCACACCUAGUCCCUUUUUUUUAAUUUAAAAAAUUUUUGCUUUCCAUAAGGUAAGACUUUCUUGGAAUUUUCGAGAGAAAAAGUGCAUAAAAGGUGCACAAAAAAAAAAGAAAGGAAAAAAUUAAAGUCAAAGAGAAAUUUUUAUUAUCACGAAAAUAGUUUCUUUCAUUUUCAAGUGAAAAGGAAAAAGAGAAUGAUAAUUUAUAAUUAGUGAUCUUUGUUAGCUUUAUUUAGCUUUUUUUUUUUUCUAUUUGUUGAAAAUUCAAGCAUUGUUGUUCAAUAUGCAUGCUUCAAAAAUCAAUCCUAUAAUCCAAAAAUCAAUAGCUAGUUUUUAUUUUUGAUAGGUUGUCGAAGCCUGUGCAAUAAUAAAACCUGCUCAAACUAAAAGUGAUUUCUGUAAAUAGCGGUGAGCAGGGUCGAAUCCACAGGGACUGGGAGUAAUUAUUUCUUUUCAAGUUCACAGUGACAAGGGGGUGUUUUUGUGCAGAAGGUGACAAUCAAAGAAAUUCAACUAAAAUCUAAGAAACUACUAAAAAUUAAAUAACAAAUUACUAAAAUCUAAUGAGUGAUAAUUAAGGAUCUAGCCAAGGAAUAACUUCAGCAAUGGUUCACCCAAUUGAUCAUCGAUAAGCAAAGAUAAUUCCAAUUAUUUAUCAAUAAAUAGGUUAUAACUACCAAACAAGCGAUGGCAGUCAACCCCUCCUUACUGUGUCGGUGAUCAAGGUACGCCCGUUAAUCACUGCUCUAAUUGAGAAAUAAUCUAGGUACGCCCAUAGAAUUUAAUUCCCCAAUUGCCUUACGUAUUAGAGGAGCCCUAUUCUAACCAAAUAACGCACUACCAGGGUUAUUUUAGAUUAGCCCGCGUAUUCCCCUGACACAAACCUAAUCAUGCCAGUUGUCACUAUUUUAGAGCAAUUAAACAAUUACGGAUUUAAUGCCCUAAUUGACAAUAGAUUACCCAAUCAACUAAUUAUCUGGAUCCAAGACAAUCAAUUAAUUAAAUAACCAUAAGUAUAGCAAUCAAGAAAUAUGCGGAUACCAAUAAGUAAAAGGAAAAGAUUAAAUUAAAACGAUCUCACAAUUUUAGGCGACCCAAAGCAUCCGUUAUCCCUUGACUAGACAAGGGAAAUUAGUUCAUUGUUGCUAAACAAAGCCCAAACAAAAUUGCAGAGAGAGACGCAGCCAUCAAUUGGGCAAAUGCCCAAGUUCAAUUCGUUUGAAGGAGUACUGAAAACCGAAAUUGCAUCAGAUGGUUUAAUGCGUUAACUUGUCUGCUCAUACCAAGGAAGAAAACGAAACUGCUACAAGCUAAAAGGUGGAAAAGCUAACAGGAAAAAGUCAAGUACUACGGCUAAGCUAUCCUGCCAUGCGUAAGAAAAGUAAAAAGCAAAGCUCCAGGAAAAGUCAACAAUAAAGCUCCUAAGCUACAGACGAAAGACUAAGCAAAGCCAGCCAUCCUUUCCUCUCUGAAGCAUUCUACUCUAAUGCCUCGCCAUUGUGCGGCGGCUCCCCUCCGAGAGGAAGAAAAUUCGAGAGAGCCCAAGAAGACUUCGGCCUCCUCCUUUUAAUGCUGUCUGCGGGCCAAUUACCAAGAAGGGUUGUGGUUUGAUAUUCCAAAAAUGUCCCUAGAUGCCUGCUACUUGAACUCUUUUUUGAUAACUGUCAAAUUGGCCUUGAUUGUGAUAUUUUUGUUCUACUCCCUGAAAUAAAUAUAAAUUACGAAAAAUGAGUAGAAUCUAAUAAUUAAUUCACAUCAAGUCAGGUAAUAGGGGAAAUUAAUAAUAAAAUAAAUAACAAAAUUGCAAUCUAUCAAUUCCCCCCACACCUAAACCAUGCUUGUCCUCAAGCAUAAGAACAGUACACAGAUACCGAAAUUUGAUAACGGCUGUUGCUCUAUCUAUCAUAUUGCCAAGAUAUCAAGAAAAAUAUAUAUCAAGCAUCAGUGAUUAAGAUCCAAGAAACAUCACUCCGGUUAGCUUCUAAACCACAAAUUUCUCCAAUUUCAGGUUAACUAAUCUAAGAAAAAGGAAUGACGUGCAACAUUUAUCAGCAAAUGGUCCAACUAUUAACCAAAAUCUCAACAUUAAAUCCAUAAAUCGGCAAGCUGACUAUCACAACCUUCACUUUUUUUUUUUUAGCACAUUUUUCUACUUUUUUUUUUUUUUUUGAUUGAUUUUUUCUCUCUUUUCUUUCUUUUCUUUUUUUUCUCUCUUUUCUUUUUUUUUAUUCUUUUUCUUUUCAAUAGUAACAAAAGACUUAGUCGCUAGCCAUUUGAGCCUUUUGACGCGAACAACUCAACAUUGGCCAGAUGAAGGAGCCCGGUUACUCAGCUUCUAUCGCCACGUGACCACGUACUCAUAGGAAUUACUACUUUUUGACGCGAGAAUCAACACUUUUAGGUGCAGAUCCCCGGUUACUCAGUAGUAACUAAUAGCGGAGUACAGUCAAGUUUAUUCAGAACUAAAAAUCACAAAAACUCAAUAUAACACAAGAACCAAAAGAAAACUUGCAUCAGCUAGCCUCAUUUUCAAACAUGGAGAACUAAAGUUAAUAACCGGACCAAUUCACAUGAAAAUGUCAAUAAUCAUUCCCUAUGCCUAGGAAAGUUAACCAAAAAUUAUAAGAGUAAAACAAUCAUUGAUAUUCACCAAAGAGAUGUUUUUGGAUUCAACCACAUUAACUUGAUACCCUUUUAUUAUUAAAAUUGGCAAUAGUAAAAUAGAGGCAAUAAUCCAACAUCAAACCUUGGCAUGCAUUACGAGCCAAUCACUAAAAGAAGAAAGAAAAAAAAUGAAUGAAAGACACUAGCACCAUAACAGCUCCCCCCACACCUAAAUCCUACAUUGUCCUCAAUGGAGGUAAUAAAGUAAUGAAAGCGAAGAGAACAAUGAAACUUCCCUGUUGAACAGCUAAGGGAUAGGAGGGAACAGUGGAGGGAAACCGAGUUCUGAGACAUCCUUGCCACUUGGCGGGUGAUGUUCGUCAUACGCUCAUCUACGUUGUGAAUCGGAGCCCGCAAGUGGUGCGACUUACAUCAGAGGCCAUCGAUGGGGGAGGCGCAGAAGAAGAGGGCUCGGGUCUUACCAUUUUCUCCAAAUGUCAUUUCAAUCAACAAGAGACAAAAAUUGCCCACAGGUAAUGUAAACAGCAAAUUCAAAGCAAUAACAAUUUAAUAGCCACUGGUGCCUCCCUAGUAGACAACCCAAUCAACAAAAUGCACAACCCAGGCACCCGGAGACUAGACAAAUAUCCCAACAAUACAGCAAUUUCAAUCAAUACUCACGGGUGGCCCCAAUUGGGUCAAAUACAGGCUGUCCAAAAUCGCAACAAAUGCUCUAAAGAUUUAGCAAUUGAAAUCAAUAGGUAAAAUACUCCCAGCAAGUCAAUUAGACGCCACCAACAGCAAUAAGCAAUGGAAGCGGCACAGUAGCCUUCCAAUUUAACAAACAAAUGCAGAAAAUACCCAACUAAAGGCACUUCAAGGGACGCAAGACAGAAAUCAGCAAAGUAGAACCCAAGUGAUACCAAAAAUAACCUUAACAAAGUAGAAUUCAACCAAUUUGAAUACGUAGAAUACGGUCAGAAAUGCCUCCCAAAGAUCAACAGAAGUGGCAAAACUUGCCCACCCAAAAUCUGUCCAAAUGGCUCCAAUUGGACAAGAAAUUGCACAACUCAAACGAUCAAAACUUAGCAAUUGGGCCAAGCAAUAGGCAAUGGCAACAACCAAUGGUUAGAAUUCGAGAACAGUUCAGGCACCAAAACCCAAGAAUCAAAUAGGCAGGCCAGUACAGAGGAUUAAGAAAUGGAAAGCAACACUGCAACCAGUACCACUGGUGCACAGACAGGAAAGAAUUAAAUUCAAUGGCAGCAACUCAACCGCAAGAACUUAAACUGGAAAAUUAAUCAACCAGUACCACUGGUGAGUCACAGGGAAAAAUAAUCAAGCGGCUAAUAAUUCAAUAAAUAACAGAAAAUACCCCCACUAUGGCAGCAAUUAAAUCCAAUUCUGUCCAAAAAAACACCCCCAAAAUAUGCCUAAAUCACCCCUGCUAUUAGCUAUAAAGAAACUCAAACACAGGGUGGACUGGAAUGACUCAACUAAAAACGCCCAAUAGGCACAACUCGCUUAAUUAGGCAAUCCAGAACACAGGAUUAUCAGAUGUUAAACAACUACCAUCACCAGUACCACUGGUGAGUGCAUAGGGAGAAAUUAAAGCAAAUAACCAAUCCAGUGAACAAAAUAGAUUCGAACACCCAAACAGCGCCAAAAAUGAGCGGAAAUUAAAGCCAGAAGCAGUGGUCAACUAACUCCCAAAGUACCCCCAAAUAUCGCAGCAGUUUAACUCAACUCUACCCAAAAUUAGACCAGAAAAUGCCCAAAAUUACUGCCCGCUGUUUUCCAACAAGAAGCCCAAGCAAAGGUGCAAAAUUUCGCAAUUUAGGGUUCAGAAUAAGACAAAUUGAGGCAGGAAUCGCAAUACCUCCACCUGCCAACAAUUGACAGGUGGUAACGAGCUGGGGUGGAGCUGGCGGAGAUGAGAGCUCACGAGCUGGUGGUGGGCUGGUGGACUUCGUCGACGAGCUGCAGGGGGAGGAAGUGCGGCUCGCGGCUGGGCGACAGGCAGCGGCGCGCGGCGCUGCUGUGGUGGUGGUUGUGGAGCUUGAGCAGGCGGCGGCGCGCAGCUCAGCGAAGAGGGGCGCCAAGCUGGUGGAGGUGAGCUAAAGUGCAGCGGCGAAAUGGUGGCGGCUGGAGCGCGCAGGUGGAGAUGGCGCAACGGGCUCGCUGGGGAGAGAGUUGCGCGCGAGGGCUGAUGGACUGGUGGAGGUUGGCGCGCAGUGUCGGUGACGGGCCGCGGCGGACGGUGGUGGCAGAUCUGGUGGUCCGCCGCUGGUGGCGCACGGCGGUGGUCUUGGGCGACGGACCAACAGGGGAACAGAGUAGAAGAAAGAAAGAAAAGGGAAAGAAAGAAGAAGAAAGAAAGAAAGAAAAGAAAGAAAGAAGAAAGAAAAAAAGGAUUUUUUUUUUUUUGUUUUACGUUGACAAGUCAAGAACUGGCUACGGUUAAGGAGAAAGAAAAUUUUUUCCUUUUGAUUCUGUACUACUUCCUCUUUUUCUUUUUUUUUCUCUUUUUUUUUUUUUUAUUUUUUCAAAAAUUUUUUAUUUUUAUUUUAUUUUUAUUUUUUUCUUUUGUAACAAAAAAAAAAAAAGGUAGCUACGGUUAAAAGAAAAAAAAAUUUUUUUUUUAAUUCUUACCUUUCCCGCGAACGUGACGCGGGCACGUCAAGAGAGCAAGAGAGCUCCCAGAAGUUUCAGAAGUUUCUGAUCGUGAGCGUCAUGCACGUCACCACGCGGGCGCGUCAUGACUGAAGGGCACCUAUAAAUCAGCAAAAACGAAAAUUAACACCCAAAACCAAUCAAACUCAAGGAAAACAUAUUUAAACUAUCACACGAAAUCAAACAAAUAAUUAAAAGAAACAAUUGGGUUGCCUCCCAAUAAGCGCCUUUCUUUAAUGUCUCUGGCUAGACAUUAUCAUGUUUUGUUCAUGGAGGAUAAAAUCUCGUGGCUCGUCUUAAUGCUUCAUCCUCUAUGUAGUCCUGAUAACCCUCGUAAAUAGAAUAAUCCUUGAGCAUACGAGUUACGGGCUUCCAUGGACUAGUAAAUGGCGCUAAACAAGUCAACAAUGAUCUGCAUUCUCCACUCACUCCUCCACCACACGCAUUCAUCGGUUCAAGAUAUUUUCCAUUGCCACUCUUAACUUAUUCCUGUCAUGAAAUUUCAAAUUUUCUGGUAUAAUAAAAUCAAUUUCAGUAACAGGAAUUGAAGAAGAUGAAUUAGGAAAAUAUUGAUUAAGGAGUGGAGAAGAUGUCACCGCAUUUGGAAAUUGUUCACUGGAUUCAUUCACUUGAAUAAUUUGAUGUUGGAGUCUCAUGUCUUCCGCUUCAACUUCCUUUUCAACUGUAUCUUUGGAUCCUCCUUCUUGAGACUCUUGCAGUUCCAUAUCACUUGUCAGGAUAAUUGCACUCUCACCUUUCUUAGAGUCAUUGAUGGUCUGUGAGGGCAAGUCUGAUAUGAAUGACGAUUGUUGAGACUCUUGCAGCUGAAAACUCAUUGGCCCCUCUUCAUAAUUAACGUUAGAGUUAUCCCACCAUCCUUGAUCAUACCGGUUUGAAUAAGGGUCAUACCACGUUUGAGAUCGAGGUGAAGAAUCUCCAAAUUUUUUUUUUGAGAUAGUCACUCAGGUAGUCUUGAUAUUCGGGGCACAUACCGGUUGAAUGAUCCCUGGCAUAACAAAUUUCACAGGUUGCAGCAGCCAUUCUUUCUCUAACAGAGUUUAGUGCCUCUGCAUAUGCAGACCUCACAAAAAAACUAGCCUCAUUGCCUUCCCCGGAAAUAAAAUCCAGUAUAUCACCAAAAUACGGAGUGUAAGAAGCCAUAAACUAAAUAAAAAAAUGUAAACAAGAUGAAUUGAAAAAGAAACAAAUAACUAGCGCCAGUCCCGGCAACGGCGCCAAAAAUUGACAGGUUGUCGAAGCCUGUGCAAUAAUAAAACCUGCUCAAACUAAAAGUGAUUUCUGUAAAUAGCGGUGAGCAGGGUCGAAUCCACAGGGACUGGGAGUAAUUAUUUCUUUUCAAGUUCACAGUGACAAGGGGGGUGUUUUGUGCAGAAGGUGACAAUCAAAGAAAUUCAACUAAAAUCUAAGAAACUACUAAAAAUUAAAUAACAAAUUACUAAAAUCUAAUGAGUGAUAAUUAAGGAUCUAGCCAAGGAAUAACUUCAGCAAUGGUUCACCCAAUUGAUCAUCGAUAAGCAAAGAUAAUUCCAAUUAUUUAUCAAUAAAUAGGUUAUAACUACCAAACAAGCGAUGGCAGUCAACCCCUCCUUACUGUGUCGGUGAUCAAGGUACGCCCGUUAAUCACUGCUCUAAUUGAGAAAUAAUCCUAGGUACGCCCAUAGAAUUUAAUUCCCCAAUUGCCUUACGUAUUAGAGGAGCCCUAUUCUAACCAAAUAACGCACUACCAGGGUUAUUUUAGAUUAGCCCGCGUAUUCCCCUGACACAAACCUAAUCAUGCCAGUUGUCACUAUUUUAGAGCAAUUAAACAAUUACGGAUUUAAUGCCCUAAUUGACAAUAGAUUACCCAAUCAACUAAUUAUCUGGAUCCAAGACAAUCAAUUAAUUAAAUAACCAUAAGUAUAGCAAUCAAGAAAUAUGCGGAUACCAAUAAGUAAAAGGAAAAGAUUAAAUUAAAACGAUCUCACAAUUUUAGGCGACCCAAAGCAUCCGUUAUCCCUUGACUAGACAAGGGAAAUUAGUUCAUUGUUGCUAAACAAAGCCCAAACAAAAUUGCAGAGAGAGACGCAGCCAUCAAUUGGGCAAAUGCCCAAGUUCAAUUCGUUUGAAGGAGUACUGAAAACCGAAAUUGCAUCAGAUGGUUUAAUGCGUUAACUUGUCUGCUCAUACCAAGGAAGAAAACGAAACUGCUACAAGCUAAAAGGUGGAAAAGCUAACAGGAAAAAGUCAAGUACUACGGCUAAGCUAUCCUGCCAUGCGUAAGAAAAGUAAAAAGCAAAGCUCCAGGAAAAGUCAACAAUAAAGCUCCUAAGCUACAGACGAAAGACUAAGCAAAGCCAGCCAUCCUUUCCUCUCUGAAGCAUUCUACUCUAAUGCCUCGCCAUUGUGCGGCGGCUCCCCUCCGAGAGGAAGAAAAUUCGAGAGAGCCCAAGAAGACUUCGGCCUCCUCCUUUUAAUGCUGUCUGCGGGCCAAUUACCAAGAAGGGUUGUGGUUUGAUAUUUCAAAAAUGUCCCUAGAUGCCUGCUACUUGAACUCUUUUUUGAUAACUGUCAAAUUGGCCUUGAUUGUGAUAUUUUUGUUCUACUCCCUGAAAUAAAUAUAAAUUACGAAAAAUGAGUAGAAUCUAAUAAUUAAUUCACAUCAAGUCAGGUAAUAGGGGAAAUUAAUAAUAAAAUAAAUAACAAAAUUGCAACCUAUCAAUUUUCAAAAGAAAAGGUAAAAUGACUUCAAUAGAGAUUUUAGUUUGAUGGAAUCUUUGACUUGAGUUUAUAUAAUUACUAACAAGGGCUUUAAGUCAUGAACAAAGAGUAACGAGUAGUCGGCAUCAGUUCGUGAUUACGCUUCACGGGGUUGGGUGUCCUCUCCGCUUGACAGAUUUGUAUCCUGAACCAGUUCUAUUGGUUCAAUAAAAAAUUAAAUCAUAAUUGUGUUCACGAUCAUAAAGUGCUCGAAUGACCGGAUACUUGGCAAAGCGGUUCACGAACCCAGAGGUUAGGUACUAGACUCGGUACCAAAGUUAAAAAAGAAAUCAUAUUUUCAUAAUUGAGAAUAAGAAAAUAAGUAAACACCUAAAAGACUUUAUUUAAAUAUAAUUCAUUAUUUGUUAAGAAAUAUCACAUAACCAUGAAUACUUGCAUAUUCAUAGUAAAAACAAGUUUGUAAAUAUCACUUAUUCUAUGAAACAAAAGCUAAAUAUAUUAUAUAAUUAUCAAGUUAAACAAGUUAAGACUCUUAUAUUGUUGAGAUAGUCAAGUAUAUCAUCUCAAAUAUAAAUAUUUGAUGAAAGAUGAUUAUAUAUUCCUCUAUUAAUUUUAGUGUUAAUUUUAGUUUUAAUGGACAAAAUUAUAAGUAUAUCCUUACAUAUGAAUUGGGUCAGGUAUUUGCGAUUUUCAAAGUUUUUGGAUUGCGACAGAAUGUACGUCCUUGUUAAUCCGGUUUGCUGCUACCCGAACUACACAUAUUAAAACCGAUUCGAGUACCCUAAAUCUAUGUUUUCAGACUCGGACCGGAUAUCGACUCGGUCAGGGUCAGGGGUCAGGGGUCAAUGGGUUCGACCGGGUUCGACCGGGGGUUAAAUCAGAUGACGUCAUAAAUAAAAAUUAUUUAGAAAUUAAAAUAUUAUAUUUAAAAUAUCUAAGAUCAUGUUAAUAUUAACAAAGGUAUAUUCAUAUAUGUUUAAUGUUUCAAAUGUAUUUAAUAAUAAAAUACAAAGAAAUUAGAAUAAUCAAGGAGCAAUUUAUAUUAUUUAAUGAAUAUUAACAAGUUUAGAAUUAAAAUUAUGGACUUGAUUAAAAAAUAACACCAAACUUUAGGACAAUAUUUAUAAAGUAUGAAAUAUUUGAGGUAUAUUAAUAGUUUUUAACAACUUAAGGAUCAAAACAUAAUAUUGAAAAUGUUUUGAUCCUAUACCAGAUGAAAGUGCUUUGAAGUUUGACCCCACGCCACACCUCUCAUUUAUUCCUCUACUCCUCACGGUGUCAUUUCAUCUUCCUGCAACUCCUUUCUUCAUCUUCCACGCCAUUCUGCAACUCCUUUCUUCUUCUUCAUCUUUUUUUUUUAAUUUCAUUUUCAUUCUUAUUUUAUUAGUUAUUUGUUCUCAAACCCAUGAAAUAUCAUGCUUUUAUCUGAUUUCUGCAAACUGUUCUCUUCUCCACGCUUUUUUUUUUUGCAUUUUUGGGUCUUUUUUUAUCUUUUGAAUACAAGAUCUAAGAUUAUAUCUUAUUUUAAAAAAGGGGUAAAACAUUGAUUUUUCAUGCUUGAAUUGAAGUCAAAGAGUGAAAAUGGAUUUGCGGAGGAGGCGGAGCUCACAAGGAUUUGGGGUUAAGAGGUCAGGAAGGGUAAAAAAGAAUUUAAAAAUAGAGAAUAAGAAAAACCCGGUUCGUACGGGUUCUUCAGGUUUCCGGUUAAACCUGGUCAAAACCGGGGUUUGACCGAGUCUUGACCAAUCCGAGUUUUUAAGAUAGCUCGGACCGGACACUUGGCCGGUUUUCGGUUCAACCAGUCGGACCGGCCGGUCCGGUCCGAAUUUAAAAACACAGCCCUAAAUUUGCGGUUCAGAUCGAAUCAAUAUUUACGAAUUUUUGGAUUUCUCUUAUCAAAAUAAACAGCAUGUAUUACAUAAACUUGCAUAUCUUUAUUACCGACAAACAAACAAAAAUUUAUUCCUAUCAUACCAUAGAACCCAACAGACAACGGGAAAAAGAGGAAACCAAAGAACAUUAAAGCGGUUAACAGUUGAGAAUUUUUUACAAUCAAAAUUUAGCCAACUAAUGAAAUCUAAUUGAGCCACCCAAAAGAAGGGAAAUUGACAGGAAAAGAUGUAGCCAUCCAAAGACAAGGAGCUUUAGGACACCUCCUAAUUUAUAUGUUUAGACUCGUUGCCAGCAAAAAACGCAGGAGUUCUCUCGAGGCUAGUCUGUUUUGAGAACACAACCGAAGAAAAUGCUUGGUUCAACUUUCCAAAUCCAUGCAAGAGGACUCCUAGUAAAAUUAAGAAUAUUGCUACAACUCAAAACUAAUUUAGCAGAAUCAAUCUUAGUAGCAGGUGGAAAUUUCCAACCCAAGAUUAGAUAUCAGUGACAGGUUGGAAUAUUACCAUCUAUAACUUGAGAAACAGAGACUUUUAAAAUUAUUCAAAUCUCAUGAGCUCAAAACAUAACAAAGUUCCUUGACUGCAAAUUGACACAUGUUUGAAAAGAAAUAGUACACAAUCAUCACUAAAUUCAGCAAAACGAAAUUACACAAAAUACCCCAACAGCAAAAUAUCUGAAUAACCUUUAAGCGGCCGUGCAUAUUGAUAAAAUGGUGCACGGUGUACAAAUCUCAUUGAUUGUUUCCACCGUGUCUUGACAAGAAAAGAGCCAUCGAUCCUUUCAAUUUUCACCUCAAUCUUCCACAAAAGCACCAAAGAAAGCCAGACCACCCAAAUGACCUUCACACUCCCUGAUGAAAUAUCAUCAAGAAAAAAUAGAGCAAUAAUUAGUUGUUUGUUCAUCAAUUUCAUUGUGCUCGUGCACGCACUACAGGCAACUGAAGUAGUACAAAAAAGCUACCAAAAUGUCAAUAAAAAUUAAACUCCCUUAAAUGAAAAAAAGCAUGAUUAUUUCUACAAGCCAAUUAAUGGUAACGACAAAAAAAAUUACCAGAUAUUGCACCAGCUCAAUCUAUGAUGAUGACCUUCAGAUUCUCAUUUCCAUUAUAUUCCUGUGCUUCUUCAAUUUCCCUCACUAAAGAUUUGACACCCUCUCCGCAAGAACUCACAUUAAUUGUUUCAAGAGUUGAUAUACGCUGUAGACAAGCAGGCAUCAUUUCCAAAUUAGAAAUGCUUUGGAGUUUUAAUUGCUGAAGGCACGGGAAGUAAUCAUCACUGUCAGGGUCUGUCUCUAUCCACUCAACAAUCUUUACAUAUUCCAAAGUCAAGACCCUGAGUUUAGGGAAUCCUCCUUCCAUCAGCUCCCAUUUUUGGCCGUCCAUUGACUGCUCUCUUAAUCUGAGGACUUCAAGAUUGGGUAGUUGUUCAAUCAAUGACAUUUUUCUACAGGGAAGACCCAGAUUGGAAAGGCUCAACUCUUUCAAAUUCAUGGGAAAAGAAAGCUCAACAUGUUCCCGUGAACCUGAGAAAUACUUGCCCCCUAAGGUGAGUGACUCUAGGCAUUCUAAUCGACUCAUGUUGCAGCAUACUCUAUUUCGUCCCCCACAAUUGAAAAUUUGAAGUUGGUGAACGUUGGGAAUCCUUCUCAAUAUGUUCUCUCCCUCUUGAUCAAGAUAAAGACACAGAUUUGAGAGUGUGUCUAAAUCGGGUAAAGUGGAGAGGUUUUCAACAACGUUGUCGCUGGAAGAGAGAAGAAUAAUGCAGUUACGCUGUACAUGUACAUGCCUCAACUUCUUCAUGUUCCAGAUGCUAUCUGGCAAUGAAACCGUCGUGCAAGAAUUUAGACGGAAGGUUUCCAAAUGUGAGAGCUUGGCUAUAGAUGGUGGAAUGAAUUCCAUGGGCUGAGCUGUACGAAGGGCUAAGUACCUCAAACAAAGAAGUGAUUCGACUUCAGCUGGAAGCUCCUUCAACAUUAGGUUAAUGUCCUCUAAAUUCAAAACUUUAAGACGUUUGUAGAUGCUAAAAAAGGAGGAGAUAUUAAGCAUCCCAAACUUAUCUCCUCGAGUAGCAUUGAAGAAUAGCAGAGUAUCUAAAUCUGGACAAAAUAGUUUUGACUUUAUAAAAUCUUCUUCACUGCAGCAAAUGGACAACCGAUGUAGGUUGGGAGGCUCAUUAAAGAUAGAAAGCUCAUCAUAUCCACGCAGGAUCUGAAGAAAAUUUUUUUCUUUCGCCAGAGUCUUACAGAACUCUAAUAUCAAAUCGUGAAUGUAACAAGUUUUGCCUCCACCAAUGGAUCUGUUUUCACUUACCAUAACUAAGUUUCGAUGAAUUAGGUCCAUCAGAUAUUCUUCUGCAAUAUCCUCUGAUCUCUUUCCUUCAAUUAUUUCCAACGAACCCUUCUGCAAUCCAGAGACACAUCAACUUCUUGGCACCAAUUUUUUCAUCCUCUCGAAAUGCAGCAAAAUACAGCAAGCAUGCCUUCAAGUGAUAUGGUAAAUGCUCAUAACUGAGCUCCAUCGACUUUUUGCAUUGUUCUGCAUCAGACACCGUGGUUGAACUUAAACUUUCAGCAAAUCCUUCCCAAACACAAAUAUCAUGCUCUAUAGUUGCUAGGACUCCAGCUGCAACAACAAUUGAAAGUGGCAAUCCUUUGCACUUUUUGGCGAUCUCCAUUCCCAAUCCAUGAAAUGCUUGAGGACAAUCUUCUUUUCCAAAAACCUUCUUCUGCAGUAAUUCCCAACUUUCUUUGUCAUUGAGUGGGCGAAGAUUGUGAGGUUUCCCCCCAUAUUCAACCUGUGAAGCCACAUUAGAAGAUCGACUUGUGAAGAUGAUUCUACUUCCUUUCUUGUCAUCCGGGAAUGAAAUUCCCAGCUCAUUCCAUACUUCAAUGUCCCAGACAUCAUCAAAAACAACAAGAUACCGAUUCCCCUUCAGCUUUUGGUAGAGCUUUUGAAGCAACGCAUGUUCAUCCAGAUUUUGAAACUCAUCAUCCAUCCUCGAAUGUUUGCCAUCAGAGUGUAAAAUUUGAAGUAACACAUUUUUCAUGUUAUAGGCUUGAGAAACUAUACACCAAAGACGAAUGUGGAAGUUAUAGAUUACUGAACUAUCAUUGUAAACUUUUUGGCUAAAGUUGUCUUACCAAGCCCAGCCAUUCCCACAAUGGGAACAAUUUCCACCUGUUUUGAUCCGCUUACAAGUCGUUCAAUUACUUUUUCUGCCUCAUCAUCAAGACCAACCAUGACUUCAUGGGCUAUUGGCAUUUUACCUUUUGAUAGCAUGUGGGUGGAAGUCUUGCUAACUUCUGGUGCUCUUAAGCUAUGAAAGGAAGGAAGACUUUCAAUAACGCUUGAGCCACUGAUCUGAUCCUUAAAAUGCUUGAGAUGGGUGUUGGUAUUAGCCAGCAUAUCACAACAGUCAAGGACCUCUGUGGAUUCUAAGAAGCUAACUUCUCCUUCCUUCACUCUGUUUAGGGAAGGCAAGCAAAUUAUAAUGCCUGCCUCACAAAGAAGAGCACCAAUUUUUUCGUUUUGCUCAUUCAUCUUCUCCUGCUGCUCCCUUAAAAUGCUUCUCAAAAACCUCAGUCCUGCAUAGAGUAUUGGCAUCUCAUCUUUCAUAGAAUCCACAAAGCUAGAGCUGCAGCAUAACAACUCCCAGAGACGACUUAUCAGAGAAUCAUUGAAGUUGUUCAAUAUCUGCUUAUCCAUCAUUCUAUUAUGCAAUGAUUUUGAGGAUCUUGUAGCUUUAAGAACUUCCAUAUAAAUCUCAUAGACUUGAAAAUCAAUAGGUGUGAUUUUCUGUUGUUGCUCAUAUAUCUUGGAGCAGAACUGAGGAUUGCAGAACUCAUCAUCCCAACAAGAACACAUGUAAGAAAGGCGUGCUGCGUUCAAAGUCACCACUUCAAAGUGAGCCAACAGCAAGGCAGGAAUAUCUACAGUUCCUCGCAAUUUGGCAAAGGGAAUGAAGCUUUUCAAGAAUGUUAGCUUUGCUUCAAGGGCUUGGACUUGAGCACCAACUUGGGGAUCCAUUUCAACAAUACACAAAUCGCUAGUUGUUAAAUCCGCUAGAUUUUGUAGAAUGAGGUCUAUAAAUUCCAUUAGUUCAUCAACUGGCAUGCAAGAAUUUGAUUCCAAUGAUCUGCUGCUUGCCAAAGUAAAGUAAACUUGGAUGAUUUCUUGCUUAAAUGAUUUGAUCUGUUUUAAAAAUUUAAAAAGCACUUCAUCGCCAACAUCACGUAUGCCACGUGCAUCAGGUUCCAACAUAAGGCAAAGAGAGUGAAUGUCCUCCUCAUAUUUGUAAACGGUAUCUUCAAUGCAAGAUAAAAAAGACGGAAGACUCACCAAGUCCAGAUCAUUGCAGUGGCUCCACUUUCUUGCACACAUAACAAAUGUUCUGAGAAAUGUUAUGUUCAGGUACGCAGCUUCAAUUUUGAGAAAUGUUACACCCACGUACGCAUAUCCAAUUUUGCCUGUUCGGAACAUGACAUUGAGGUCGUCCAUAAGCAACUUUAGAUCAAGGAAGACCCGAUCGACGCUGCAAGUGGAGGCCACGUCCAUCUGUUGUGCAGGGAUUUUUCCUUAGUUUCACUCUCAAAUUUUAAGGGGGAAAAAGAUCUCGCCGACUGCAGAGCAAGCAGCCUGAAAAUUUUUUUUUUUUCUGGUGGGAAGGUGAAGAAGAGAAAUGAGAAAAUAAAUUAUUCAACAGACAAACGGAGCAAGAUCAAGAAAGAACAGGUGAAUCAAAGUUAACGAGAGAGCGAUCAAAUAAUCUGGAAAUAUUGACUACCACUGCAUAGUUUUUUGGAGUUUUUUUUUUUUUUAAAUACUCAUUUCGUUGUUGAGAAGUGGUCUGGCAUUCCCUUUGUACAAUUUUUGAAAUUAUCCCACUGUACAUUUAUAUUGACUCAAAUUGAAAAUAACUAAAUCAAUAAGGGAAAAAACCUUCCGAAAUCUAAAGUGGAAUACGUGCAAGUGGUGGGUCGGGUUUCAUAGAAUUAUUCCAUCUCCACACAAUGAGGUGCGGUUCCACGGACCAGAAUUAUUGCUGCACGUCCCUGUCCCUGUUUUUGCAAUAAUUCCAUAGUUUAAUAUGUUAAACUUUAUAAUUGAGAAGUUUGCUGCUACGUCACCGCAAAGGAUACUCGGAGGCAUAUGUAAGUGGGGGGCCUCACAGCCGGUGAACAACUCUUUUGUCUUUUAGAGAGCUGUUAUCUUAUUUAGCGUGGGUAUAUUAGGAAGAACCAAAAAAAAUAAAGAACCAUCAAAAUAUAAAUGAUCCAGAGACUUUUAUUGGGAGGAGUAUAGAGAUAUAAAUACAAAUAUAGCUUUAACUGGUUUCUUUUCAUUUUUUUUUUAUUUUAGCAUGAAUCUUCCUGCUAGCUCUCUAGUUUUCUUUAAUUGUUUUCCUUCUUGAGCAAACCACUAAAUUUGAUCACUUUCUCUUCUAAUUGUCUCGUAUUAAUAAUCAUGACCAUUGAUCUUGGAGAUUAAUAACCAUGACCAACAAAGUAAAGAGUCUGAGAAAAAAAAAUUGAGGGCUACUUCAACCUUUCAAAUUGUGGAAGCAGAGAAUUCGAGAUUUCUGCAAUUACUAGUGUCAAUUAUAUCAUAAAAUAUAUGCAUUACCAUAAUAAAUGUAAACUCUAAGAUAAUAAAUAUAAACAGUAAAACAAUAACGUGCAAAAUUCAUGUUACCGGAGUGCAUUAAUGUUACCAAAAUACUAUAGUCAAAGAAAUGAUUGGAUUAAAUAAGUGGAAUUUUCUACUAGUUAGUAGUAUUACUUCUUUUCAAGGGCCUGGACUUAAAUACACGCUAAUUAUUUGUAUAAAUUUAUUUACUUGCAUUAUAAAAAUAUUUUUUAAUUAUAUUUUUAUUUCACAUAUAUCACAUUAAAAUAGUGAUACAAUACUUUUUAAAAAUAUUAUUCCAAAUAAUCUCACAUUCAAACACAAGUAUAUGCCCAUUUCAGUGUUACUUGGACCAUUGGAAAUUAAUUUAAGUCUUUUCACUGGUCUUUCUUCCACAUUCAGGGGGUCCAUUUGGAAAAUGAGCCAGAAGGGGACUGGUUGUUCUUCGGGUCAAGCACGGCAUGCCCAUAUUUUUAAAUGUUAGAUAUCAAUUCUUAAAUAUUUUUAAAUGUUGACGAAGAAUUAGUGAUAAUAGUCUCAAGAGUCAUAACCGAAACGCAUGCUAAUCCAAGCAUACACUGUUACAGCUUAUUAGAAAUCAAGUCAACUCUAGUCUUUCUUUCACAUUCAGGGGUGAUAGGUCAUAAUUUAUUGCUAAAUUAAUAAUUAUUUUUCUCUUGAUUUUAGCCAAAUAUUAUUUUAAUUGAUAGAUUCUACUUAUAUUUGACUAAUGGUGCUAAUUGUAGGAAAAUGAGCAAAACAUGAUUAACAAGUGAUAAUUUUCCAGUUAAUUUGAUUGUGGUACGUUCGGAACCUACAUGCAUAUUAGACAAUCUCCAAAUCCGAAUCAAUUUCCUAAUUUGAUAACUAUCAGGACCUUUCUGAUUUCAGGGGAUCAUUCUCAAGUGAUUGGGAGAGUUUUUAGGAAAUUAAAUUGUAAUAGGAAACAAAUUCCUUUAAUUUCGUGGCUACCAACGGGAGGAGGAAUUAGACUCCCAGGAGUUUUGCUUGGCUUUUUAAUUUCCGUUUGGCUUUGCUAUGUGGGGACCAUCGAGAGAAAGCCACGGGGUGGACCCUUGUAUUUGGGCUUCUAGCUAAUUUGGGGUUGACCAAGACAAAGAAGGAAAAGAAGAAAAACUUUUCUCUCGUAUGCUUGGAGGAGCCGUCAUUGUUGACUUAUUUGGCUCUUACUUUUACUUUUGUUAUGCAACAAUCGAAGGUUUCGAACAGUUUUUUCGCAUGGUUAUUCUCCAUUAAUGGAGGACUAACCUCCUAAUUCUUGUCAAGGGGAUAACUGAAGAUUUGGUUUAAUAAUUACUGUAAAAUUUAAAUUAUUUUAACUGCUUCCUCUAUUUAUUGGUAUUCGUAUGUUUUCUGCUUUUAAUUAUUGUUAUAGUUAUCGUAUAUGAUUGAAUAGAUGCGCAAUAUUUAAUUAUUCACAUAGGCUAUUGUGCUAAUUAGAGUAAUUAAAUUCGUAAUUGUUCGUUAUCUCUAUCUAAGUAGCAACUGGCAUAAUUGGAUUUAUGUCGGGGGAACAUACGUGACAGGUGCCGAACCUGUGCAAUAAUAAUAAAUAGAACCUAAUUACCACCAAAAGUAGCCAAUAAUUAAUUUUAGGUACUGGAGCAGGGACUCUAGGUGUGCAAUGGGUUACUUGAUUCACCCUAUUCCCGAAGAGUUUGCUUAACCCAAUAUACCCGAAUUAAUUAUCUGACUAAAUUUACUAACUAAUAGACAGUGACAAGCAGGGUCGUCUUCUCAGGGACUAGUAAGAUAUUUUGUUUCUUUUCAAAUCAAGAUUACUGGGGGGGUUUUGGUAUCAAAUGCCAAAAAUAAAGUAACUGCAGAAAAUAAUUAAUUUAAAGAAAUAAUUGGAGAAACUCUAGCCAAGGGUACACUUCAGAAAUGGUUCAUGCACUGAUCAUCGAAUCACAGAUAAUUCCAACAUUUAUUAAUAGAUUGGUUAUAGUUGUCUCGCACGCUCUAAACAACCAACCCUUCCUUAAUUCAUCGAUAGCUAAGGUACGACUGUUAGCUAUUUCUCUAACCCAAAAACAACCCUAGGAUUUAAUUUCUAGAUUGCAUUAAUAAUUAGAAAGGCCCAAUCCUAACUAACAAACACGCUACGAGGGUUUGUUUAAGCUAGAUCGUAUGCUCCCCUGACAUAAUCUCAAUUACGCCAGUUGCUACUAAGGUAGACAUAACGAACAAUUACGGAUUCAAUUACCUCUAUUUAGCAAAAUAGCCUACGUGAAUAAUCAAUUAUUGCGCACUAAUCAAUCAUACAUAAGGCUAUAACAAUUAAAAUCAGGGAACAUAUAAAUACCAAUAAAUGAAGAAAAUAAUUAAAAACGGCUUAGAUCUUACAGUAAUCGUUGAACCAAUUCGUCAGUUGAUCCCUCGCUAGAAUUAGGGACUUAGUUCCCCAUAAUUAGAGAACAGGCCGUGCGUGGGAAGUUUGGAGAAAUUGUUGGAUUUGCUCGUUCGAUUUCGGCCAACAGAAUGAAGAACGGAACGAAGGGAAUCGCCACUCUCUAUUGCUUCCAAUCACAAUCAUGCGAUGGAAACCUGAUGCUCUCUGCCAAUCCGGUCCAGGCUACGGGAAAAGCAAAGAUCCGCAGGUCCACAAUCGCGACUGGACUUCCACUCGCUACCAAAGAAAGGAAAAGUCAACACAGCAGCCCUUCCUCUCAAUGGUUUACAAUAGCCUACGAGAAUGUCUUUUUCUUAUUCCUUCCAUUCGGUCACAAUAAAGACAAGCAAUUCCCAAGGUCACAAGCAAUGGCCUUUUGUCUCCUUAUUGCUUACGAGAACCACGGCCAACCCAAUUCAAUUGAUAGAUUGGAAAAUAGCAAUUGCUCAAGUCAACAGAAGAUGAAAAGCAAUACUAGAAAAUGUCGACAAUGGUGGCUUUGUUCUCCCCCCUUUACAAAGCUGCGGGGGCCGCCUUUUAAACGCAUCCCCCUAAACCUAAGUCACGCGAGAAUACUUAAUUCUUCCUCGGUUGUGGUCCCCAGUUCCAGGAAGGGAUUUUUCCUUUUUUAGAAAUUGUUCUUUUUCCCAAAAUUAAAACAAGACUCUCUCAAAAUAUAAUAAAAUAAAAUCUAUUACAAUUAGAUUUCUUCAGUUUCUCAAACGGGCCCCACGUACAAUGAAUCUUCUAAAAGUUGAAUUUAAGUACUUUUCAGCAUCCAUUCCUGCAAUUAGCAUCAAAACAAAAUAUCAGUAGAAUCCACCCAAUUAAUGAAAAUAUUUAGUCAAUUAAUUGUGCAAUAAUGCCCAAAAUACCCACUAAAAUGCACUCUAUCAAUCUCCCCCACACCUGAAAUAUGCUUGUCCUCAAGCAUAAUUAACUCAGAAAUGCAAUAAAGAUGCUAAGCAAACCACAGCAGUUCAUACCAAGAAUGGUAUUCCAAAUUCCCCAAUAACCUCAUCGAAAUCAGAGUAUACCAAAUCAACAAUUCUCACCGUUUAAAGUGCACUCAAUCACUCCAAAAUGUAUAUGAGAUGUAUAUAAGAUAACUCUCAAAUCAACACAAUAGAAUGACACUACCAUAAGUUCUCAUAUAUCAUAUUUCCACCACUUACUAAUGAAUUUAAAUGCAGCAAUCAAGGGACUUUAAAAGGUUGUAAUGACUAGGGUGAGAAGGUAGGAUAAAAAUGAGUCAAAAGGGUGUAAAAGUAUAAAGAAAGUGCCCAGAAAUUCAUUACAUAGAUUCUUGCACAUUUGAAACUUAAAGGCAUCUCAACCAUCACACAAGUGAAGUAAAUUAGCACUUGUCACAACUUUCGACUUUUUCUUUCUCCUCUUUUCAUUCAUCUACUUCCCUUCUCCUUUUUUUCUUUUUUUUUUUGUUUUUUUUUUCAAUAACUCCCAACCAACACCAUAAAAAUCAACUUUACUUGUUGAUUUCCUGCACUUUGUCUUCUUUUCACAUUUCCCCUUCUUUUUUUUUUUUGUGUUUUCACCUCUCUUUUUUUUCAUAGGUGUAAUGCCUCUCAAAUAAUACUCCAAAAUUCUGUAUAAUGAAAUCAAAGCACUUCUUCACAUGAGAUUCAAAAAGAAAGUCUAAAAGGAGAUUUUACGGCUAAAAACUAGGGUCUCAAGCAAAGAAUAAGGGUUAAGACUCAACUUGGCUCCCUAGUGGUAACUAAUCCAAGGGUUGGUUUUAAGAAAGUCCAAAAAUGGCUCAUUCCUAGGUGCCCUAUCAUUUCAAUGCAUUAAACUCAUUUAAAUGUGGUCUUGACAUGCAUAACCGAGCAAGUUCUAGAAUGACAAACCAUGUGCACUAAUCACUCAACAAACGAAAAAUUAGGCCCAAAAAUCGCACAAGUGAUCAAAUUUAUGCCAAAUUCAGCAUAUUCAUCAAUCAAUUCAUCAUCGAGGAAAAUAGAGCACCCAAUGGUAUGAACUUACUACUCGUACUCAUAUCUCAAUUGCAUUCAUCACAAUUUGAAGAAAGGGACUACUAAGGCAAGGAAAAAUUUAAUCAGACAACUAAAAAUGCAACCAAAGCAUAGUUAACCCUCCCCCACACCUAAACCUUACAUUGCCCUCAAUGUAAGCAAAGAAAGAGCAAAACAGAGAUAUUGGGGCAACGACACUUCCCUUAAAACGGAGGAAGGCAGAACUGAACUACAGCUGUGGCGGGAAAGGUGGGCGGAAACUCACGUGAUGAAGAUACUGUGCUAAAUUCUAGGCCAUCCCGCCCAUUUGACGCUCCAUCCGCUCCAUACGAGUGUCCAUUUGCUCGUGCCCUUAUUUUUUUGAUUUAGUCAUUGGAAAUCAGAGGGCAGGGUGGAGGCAAGGAAAUGGGAUUCCAAAGAGGUCAACAAACAGCCAACAAAGCAAAUGACAACUAAAUACAGCUUCCAAUCACAGACAAGUGCAGAAACGACCGAUGAACACACCCCCAAGAAUUAAUUAAACCUGUCAGCAGCAAAAUUUUUUCCAAAUACCACAAAUUCAACCCAAAAAUCAAUUAAUUAGGUAAGCACAACAAUUUUUCCCCAAAAAUUAAUUAAACAGGUAGUCAGAGUAAAAACAUCCCCCAAAUAUCACCGGUCGAGCACAAAAUUUCACAAAUAGACCACAAUGAACCACAGAUAUAUUACAGCACCCAAAUAGCACAAAAUCUCUGUCCUCAGCUAGCAACUUAAAAAUCUGGCCUCAGCUAAGAAAUUAAAAUCUGGCAUCAGCUAAUAAAAGCUAGUAAUCUGGUCUCAGCUACUUAGAGACAGAAAAAUAAAGAAAGAAUUCACCGGAGGUUUGAAUGGCUGUGGGUGAAAUGGAGGGCAGGGGAGGACCCAGCACCGUGCGUGCGUCAAACGCGCGCUGGCAAACACGCCGAGGUCGCGCGUUAUGGGCGCUGCUGCGGCUGAGUUGCUGCUCGAUCUGCCUGGAGGUGAACUGGAGCUGGAGAUUGAGCGAAAGGGGUAGGCUACGCGAAAGGGGGCAACUACAGCUGAGUCGCGUAGAGGGAGGCGCGCGACUGGUGGUUCGCGCGCACGGCGGCGCUCAAAAGCUGCGCGCCUGGCUGCUGGUGCUGGAGCUCUCGCGAGCUACUAGCUUGCGCGCAAAUCUGGUGGGUGUUCGCGCCUGGAACUUGCGUGCAGGGGUUGCGUGAGAAGGAGCUGCUGGUGGCGAAACGCGGCUGGGCAGCGGGCGCGAUGGCGUGUGUGGCGCGCGGCGAUCUUGCAGCAUGCAAAGUGGCAGCGGCGGACAAGGAGAAAAGAAGGAAGAAGAAGGAGAAAAAGAAAGAAAAGGAAGAAGAAAGAAAAGAAAGAAAAUGAAAAAGAGAGAAAGAGGGAAAGAGUAGGGCUGCGGGUCCUUUGAAAAAAAAAAUUUUUUUUUUUACUCAAGGAACCUCUGGUUUAGGCGUGGGCACGCCUAACUGCCCCUAGUCUUUUGACCAUUCGUCGAAAAUUUUUUUAUCCUUUAGCGUGAUCACCGAACGUGGGCAUGUCUAACUACUACAGAAUCUUCUGACUGCGGACGAAAAUUUUCUUCUCUCAAACGUGACCACCUGGCGUGGGCACGUCUAAUUGCCACUUUCCUGCCACCAAGCAACAAAUCACUAAAUGCAACUAACACUUAACAAAAACUCCAAAAACAUAAGAAAAUUAAAACAAAAGCCUUGGGUUGCCUCCCAAGCAGCGCCUUCCUUUAAUGUCUUUGGCUAGACAUUGUCCUGUUUAUUCAUGGAGGAUAAAAUCGCGUAACUUGCUUCAGUGCUUCAUCUUCUAUGUAAUCCUGAUAGCCCUCGUAAAUAGAGUAAUUCUUGAGCACACGAGCUACGGGCUUCCAUGGACAAGUAAAUGGUACCAAACAAUCAAGUAAUGACCUUAAAUCUUCAUUCACUCCUCCAUAACAAGCACUUACUGGUUUGAGAUAUUUUGCUAUCGUGAUUCUUAACUUGUUCUUGUCAUGAAACUCAAAAUUUUCUGGUAUAAUUAAAUCAAUCUCACUAACAGGAAUUAAAGAAUAAGAGUCAGGAAAAUAUUGAUCGAGGAAUGGAGGAGAUGUCACCGCAUUUGGAGAUUGUUCACUGGAUUCAUUCACUUGAACCAUUUGAUGUUGGGGUCUCAAUUCUUGUGCUUCAACUUUCUUUUCAUCUGCAUCUUUAGAUUCUUCUUCUUGAGACUCUUGCAGUACCAUGUCAUUCGUCAGGAUAAUUGCACUCUCAUCUUCCUCAUGGUCGAUAAUAGUUUGUGAGGGCAAUUCUUCAUUCAUUCGAGAAGCCAAUGGCGUUAUCCUAAAUGUCAAUUGAUCCAUUUGAUCUACUAGGUUACGCCUGCUCACUUGUGUCUCCUAAUGCAAAUCUAUUAUCUCCUGUCGAAGUUGAUGUGUCUCCUGUUGAAUUUGAUAUGUGUUAGUAGCUAUUAAUUCAACUAUUUCUUCAAGAGACAUACCUGACAUAGAUGAUGAUUCUUGAAACUCAUACUGCAGAAAAUUCAUUGGCCCUGUUCUAUAAUUAUAACUGGAGUUAUCCCACCAUCGUUGAUCAUACCCGUUUGGAUUAGGGUUACACCACGUUUGAGACCAUGGUGAAAAAUCUCCAUAAUUAUUGAGUGGGACACUCAGAUUAUCUUGAUAUUCGGGGCACAUACCGGUCGAAUGAUCCCUGGCAUAACAAAUUUCACAGGUUGCAGCAGCCAUUCUUUAUCUAAUAGAGUUUAGUGCCUCUAAAUAUGCAAACUUAGAAAAAAAAUCAGUCUCAUUGCCUCCUCCGGAAACAAAAUCCAGUAAAUCACCAAAAUACGGAGUGUUAGAAGCCAUAAACUAUAUAAUAAAAAAUAAGAGAAAAAUAAAUAAAUAAAAAUAAAAACAAGAUGAGCUCAAAUAGAAACAAAUUAAUCUGGCACCAGUCCCCGGCAACGGCGUUAAAAAUUGACAGGUGUCGAACCUGUACAAUAAUAAUAAAUAGAACCUAACUACCACCAAAAGUAGCCAAUAAUUAAUUUUAGGUACUGGAGCAGGGACUCUAGGUGUGCAAUGGGUUACUUGAUUCACCCUAUUCCCGAAGAGUUUGCUUAACCCGAUAUACCCGAAUUAAUUAUCUGACUAAAUUUACUAACUAGUAGACAGUGGCAAGCAGGGUCGUCUCCUCAGGGACUAGCAAGAUAUUUUGUUUCUUUUCAAAUCAAGAUUAAUGGGGGGGUUUUGGUAUCAAAUGCCAAAAAUAAAGUAAUUGCAGAAAAUAAUUAAUUUAAAGAAAUAAUUGGAGAAACUCUAGCCAAGGGUACACUUCAGAAAUGGUUCAUGCACUGAUCAUUGAAUCACAGAUAAUUCCAACAUUUAUUAAUAGAUUGGUUAUAGUUGUCUCGCACGCGCUAAACAACCAACCCUUCCUUAAUUUAUCGAUAGUUAAGGUACGACCGUUAGCUAUUUCUCUAACCCAAAAACAACCGUAGGAUUUAAUUUCUAGAUUGUAUUAAUAAUUAGAAAGAUCCAAUCCUAACUAACAAACACGCUACGAGGGUUUGUUUAAGUUAGAUCGUAUGCUCCCCUGACAUAAUCCCAAUUACGCCUGUUGCUACUAAGGUAGACAUAACGAACAAUUACGGAUUCAAUUACCUCUAUUUAGCAAAAUAGCCUACGUGAAUAAUCAAUUAUUGCGCACUAAUCAAUCAUACAUAAGGCUAUAACAAUUAAAAUCAGGGAACAUAUAAAUACCAAUAAAUGAAGAAAAUAAUUAAAAACGGCUUAGAUCUCACAGUAAUCGUUGAACCAAUUCGUCAGUUGAUCCCUCGGCUAGAAUUAGGGACUUAGUUCCCCAUAAUUAGAGAACAGGCCGUGCGUGGGAAGUUUGGAGAAAUUGUUGGAUUUGCUCGUUCGAUUUCGGCCAACAGAAUGAAGAACGGAACGAAGGGAAUCGCCACUCUCUAUUGCUUCCAAUCACAAUCAUGCGAUGGAAACCUGAUGCUCUCUGCCAAUCCGGUCCAGGCUACGAGAAAAGCAAAGAUCCGCAGGUCCACAAUCGCGACUGGACUUCCACUCGUUACCAAAGAAAGGAAAAGUCAACACAGCAGCCCUUCCUCUCAAUGGUUUACAAUAGCCUACGAGAAUGUCUUUUUCUUAUUCCUUCCAUUCGGUCACAAUAAAGACAAGCAAUUCCCAAGGUCACAAGCAAUGGCAUUUUGUCUCCUUAUUGCUUACGAGAACCACGGCCAACCCAAUUCAAUUGAUAGAUUGGAAAAUAGCAAUUGCUCAAGUCAACAGAAGAUGAAAAGCAAUACUAGAAAAUGUCAACAAUGGUGGCUUUGUUCUCCCCCCCUUUACAAAGCUGCGGGGUCCGCCUUUUAAACGCAUCCCCCCUAAACCUAAGUCACGCGAGAAUACUUAAUUCUUCCUCGGUUGUGGUCCCCAGUUCCAGGAAGGGAUUUUUCCUUUUUUGGAAAUUGUUCUUUUUUCCAAAAUUAAAAUAAGACUCUCUCAAAAUAUAAUAAAAUAAAAUCUAUUACAAUUAGAUUUCUUCAGUUUCUCAAACGGGCCUCACGUACGAUGAAUCUUCUACAAGUUGAAUUUAAGCACUUUUCAGCAUCCAUUCCUGCAAUUAGCAUCAAAACAAAAUAUCAGUAGAAUCCACCCAAUUAAUGAAAAUAUUUAGUCAAUUAAUUGUGCAAUAAUGCCCAAAAUACCCACUAAAAUGCACCCUAUCAAUACGGUCUAGAUUAAAAAAACCCUCGUAGCGUGUUUAUUAAUUAGGAUUAGACCUUUCUAAUUAUUAAUGCAAACCAGAAAUUAAAUCCUACGGUCGUACCUAGGGUUGUUUCCGGAUUAGAGAAAUAGUUAACGGUCGUACCUUAGCUAUCGAAAAAUUAAGAAAAGGUUGGUUGUUUAUCGCGUGCAUGACAACUAUAAUUAGUCUAUUAAUAAAUGUUGAAAUUAUCUGUGAAUCGAUGAUCAGUGCAUGAACCAUUUCUGAAGUGUACCCUUGGUUAGAGUUCUCCCAAUUAAUUAUUUUACACAUUUAAUUUAUUUAGUUAGCAAUUCAUUAGCAUUUAAUCCCAAAAACCCCCUCAUUAAUCUUGAUUCGAAAAGAAACAAAUUUCUCUCCAAUCCCUGAGGAGACGACCCUACUUGCCACUGUCUACUAGUUAGCGAAUUCAGUCAAAUAAUUAAUCCUGGUAUAUCGGAUUAAGCAAAUUUUUCGAGAACAGGGUGAAUCAAGUAACCCAUUGCACACUUAGGGUCCAUACUCCAGUACUAGAAUUGAUUAUUGACUGCUUCAAGUGGUAGUUAGGUUUUAUUUAUUAUUAUUGCACAGGUUCGACACCUGUCAAUUUUUGGCGCCGUUGUCGGGGACUGGUACUUGAUUAAUUUGUUUCUUUUUUAGUUCAUCUUGUUUUUAUUUUUUCUUAUUUUUUUCUUAUUUUUUUUAUAUAUAGUUUAUGGUUGCUAACAUUCCGUAUUUUGGUGAUAGACUAGAUUUUAUUUCUAGAAGGGGUUAUGAGACUCAUGCUUUUUCUAAUAAUCAAUGGACUGUUGCAAAUUAUGGAACUUAUUUUGUCUCAAAUCAUUCAACCGACAUAUGCCCUGCAUUUCAAGAUGGUCUAAGUGCUCCAAUAGAUACUUUUGAAAAUUUUUCGCCUCAAUAUCAAACGUGGUAUGACCCUUAUUCAAACGGGUAUGAUCAAGGAUGGUAGGAUGAUUCCAAUUUUAAUUAUGAACAAAGUCCAAUAGAUUUUCAACAUCUAAAGUCUCAAGAACCGUUACCCAUGUCAGGUAUGUCUCUUGAAGAAAUAGUUGAAUCAUUAGCUAGUAACACAUAUCUACUUCAACAGGAGACACAUCUACUCCAACAGGAGACACAUCUACUUCAACAGGUGACAAUGAACUUUCAUCAGAAGACACAAGCGAGCAUGCGUAACCUGACAGAUCAAAUGGAUCAAUUGACAUCUAGGAUAACGCAAUUGAUUUCUCAAAUGAGUAAAGAAUUGCCCUCAGUGACUAUUAUCGACUAUGAAGAAGAUGAGGGUAUAAUUAUCUUGACAAAUGACAUGAAACUGCAAGAGUCUCGUGAAGAAGAAUCUAAAGAUGCAGUUGAAAAAGGAAUUAAAGUACAAGAAAAGGAACCCCAAUAUCAAAUUGUUCACGUGAAUGAAUCCAGUGAACAAUCUCCAAAUGCGGCGAUAUCUCCUCCAUCCCUUAAUCAAUAUUUUCUAACUCUUAUUUUUUAAUUCCUAUUAGUGAGAUUGAUUUUAUCAUACCAGACGAUUUUGAGUUUCAUGACAGGAAUAAAUUAAGAAUUGCGAUGACAAAAUAUCUCGAACAAGUAAAUACGUGAUGGGGAGUGAGGGAAGAAUUAAGGUUGUUACCUGUUUGUUUGGCGCCAUCUACUAAUCCAUGGAAGACCGUAGUUCGUGUGCUCAAGAAUUACUCUGUUGACCUUGGUUGAUCAAUCCUUAGUUUGAUGAUUAACAAACCAAAAUGUAGAUUUGGGCUAAUGUUUUUUUGUGAGUAAUUUGUUAGAACAGAUUCUUGUGGCAUAAAAGAAGAAGCAAAAACAGGGCACUCAUGUGGGAUGUCCGAAAGGAAGCUAUCGGACGUCCGAAAGGAUGAAGAACAUCAACGGACGCACGCAUCGGACGCACAUCGAUCGCAUCGGACGUCCGAGAAAUUUCGCAAAGAUUUGAUGAAUCUCUGACGACGGUCGAACGCAGGGUUCGGACGUCCGACAGGUGGUUUGGACCAGGGUUCGGAGUGACGGUUCGGACGUCCGACAGGCCAACGGCUAGUUUUGACAGCAUUUAAUAUUUGACCGUUGGAGAGCCUUUUGGAGCCAUUUCUCACAUUCUAUAAAAACCCCAAAGUACAAGAAGACAAGAGACUUUUGCCAACACAAAAUACAAGCUUACAAGUGAGAUUUUUGAGUAGAAAGAUUCUUUGUUGGUUGUAUAAGGGAUUGGGAAAGUUGGGUUGUGAGGUUGCUCAAGUGAAGGUUACUCUCUAGGAGAAGAAAAAUUGGUGAAGGUGAACCUAUCACUUGAAGUGGUAAAACUUGGUGAAGGUUGCCUCAUUUGUAUAAAAUAGUUCUUAAUUGGGAGAGUGAUCUUUCAAGUGUAGGUUGUUGAGGGUUAACUAGAAUAGUUGUAAAACUCCUUGGCUCAACCAAAGUGUGUUUGGGGUGAGGAAGGAGUGAGCUUCACUUGUACAUCUUGGUUAGCAUCGCCAUCAAUUGAAGAGGCUAUUGGAUUGAUAUUUGGUUUGCAUUUCUUAUCUUUUCUCUUUAUUAAGUUUUCUUUAUUGUGUUAAAUUUGAUAUAUCUUUGUGCAUCAUUGUGAAAUUGUUUGUACUCAUUGGGUUGCACCGGGCUCUUACAAUUGGUAUCAGAGCUUGGUCUCUUUUGAUCAAGCUUAACCGCUUAGAGUAAAGAUCAUGGCAACAUAAAAGUUUCUUUUUUUGAAGGACAAUCUAUUGAUAGACCACCUAUGUUUAAUGUUCUCAUUUUAGCAUGUGGAAACAAAGAAUGAUGAUUUUCUUACAAUCCGUUUAUAUUGAAUUAUGGUAUGUGGUAGAAGAUGGUCCUUAUGAAGCUAGAAUAGUUGACUCUACCACCAAUUUGAAUAGAUUAAAGACUAGACAAGAAUUGAAUAAAAAGACAAGAGAUACCUUUCUUUGAAUGCCAAGGCCAUGUGUAUAUUGUACAAUGCAUUAGAUGUAAAUGAAUCUAGUAGGAUUAAAGGUUGUAAAUCAGCUAAAGAUAUUUGGGAUAAAUUGUGUGUAUUUCAUGAAGGUAAUUAAGAUAUUAAAGAACAAAAGAAAUCUUUGCUUGUUUCUCAAUAUGAAUUUUUCAAAAUGCAUCCUCUUGAAAAUGUUGAUAAGAUGUGUAGUAGAUUUUGUGACAUUAUUGAAGAUCUUAAAUUGCUUGGAAAAGAAUAUUCUUUGGGUGAGAAAAAUAGAAAGAUUUUGAAUGCCUUACCAAAAGAAUGGGAAAACAAAAUAAAUGCUAUAGAAGAGGCAAAGGAUUUAAAUUCUAUGUCCAUUGAAUCUCUUGUGGAUACCCUAACCUCUUAUGAAUUAAAGCUGAAAUUCAAAGUGCAAGAGAAAGAAAAUGCAAGAAUGUAUAAGAGAGGCGUAACUUUUAAAGCAUCUCAAGUGGGGGAUAACCCAUCCUUCAUGGGUAAUGAAAUCAUGGAAGUGGACAAUGAUAUAACUCUCACAUCAAAAGUUUCAAGAAAAUCUUCAACAAGAGAUGCUCAAGAGGAGAUUGCAAAAUUACAUGGGAUGAAUGCAAUUCAAAAAGAGAAAAAGAAGAGUUGGCCCAAAUGGCACUAAUGGCCGUUGGAGAAGAUGAGGUAAGUUCUUAUCACUCUUCUUGUGAUGAAGAUAAUGAAGAUGAUGAUGUGAAAAUUCUUAUGAUUAAAAUGCAUAAAAGUUUGAGAAAAUCUUAUGCUAAAAAUAAAGAUUUGAAAACAAAAAUAAAUGAUUUGUUGGAAGAAAACUCCAAACUGUUUCAAGAAAACAAAUGUUUAAGAAUGGAAAAUGAUGAUUUAAAAAAUCAAAAAAGUGUUUUUGAUUGUAAAAUAAUUUGAAAAGGAAGUUAGAAGAGAAAACAAAGUUUUAUGAAAAAAUGUUGGAGGAACAAAAUGUGUUAAAGAAAAGAAUUAAUGACUUGAACGAGUUUCUCCAAAAUGAAAAAAAAAGUUUUCUCAAACAAAAGAAAGCAAAUCUUUUCAAGGCACAAAUAAGUUUGCUAUGAUAAGAAGUAAGAAAAUUAGUUGCAUUAAAUCCACCUAUGUGCAAAAUACUUCCAUCAUGUGUAACUUUUGUUGCAAAUUUGGACAUAUGCAAAAUGAUUGCUAUGUAAAGAAAAAUAUGAGAAAAGGCAUGAAAUUCAUGUGGAUUGCUAGAUCAUGUCGUAUUAACUCCUAAGGACCCUAUAAAGAAAGGGUACCAAAUGAAAUUUCUCAUAUUUAGGUACAUCAUGAAUAUUUGAUCCAAGUAGUGCUAUAUGGUUGUAAGUACAUUUGAAAAUUUUGAUAUUCAAUAUGGUCUUGAUUUGAAAAAUAAAGGGGGAGUUUGUUUUUUUGAUUGAUGCAAAAGGGGGAGUAGGAUUUAUUGAAAUUUUUUGUAUGUUGGCACUUUCUAAGGGGGAGCUUUAUUUGAACUUAUUUGAUAAAAGAAAUCUCAUUUUGUUUGUCAUCAUCAAAAAGGGGGAGAUUGUUGACCUUGGUUGAUCAAUCCUUAGUUUUGAUGAUUAACAAACCAAAAUAUAGAUUUGGGCUAAUGUUUUUUGUGAGUAAUUUGUUAGAACAGAUUCUUGUGGCAUAAAAGAAGAAGCAAAAACAGGGCACUCAUGUGGGACGUCCGAAAGGAUGAAGAACAUCAACGGACGCACGCAUCGGACGCACAUCGAUCGCAUCGGACGUCCGAGAAAUUUCGCAAAGAUUUGAUGACUCUCUGACGACGGUCGGACGCAGGGUUCGGACGUCCGACAAGUGGUUCGGACGUCCGACAGGCCAAUGGCUAGUUUUGACAGCAUUUAAUAUUUGAUCGUUGGAGAGCUUUUGGAGCCAUUUCUCACCUUCUAUAAAAACCCAAAGCACAAGAAGACAAGAGACUUUUGCCAACACAAAAUACAAGCUUACAAGUGAGAUUUUUGAGUAGAAAAUUCUUUGUUGGUUGUAUAAGGGUUGAGAAAGUUGGGUUGUGAAGUUGCUCAAGUGAAGGUUACUCUCUAGGAGAAGAAAAACCUUGGUGAAGGUGAACCUAUCACUUGAAGUGGUAAAACCUUGGUGAAGGUUGCCUCAUUUGUAUAAAAUAGUUCUUAAUUGGGAGAGUGAUCUUUCAAGUGUAGGUUGUUGAGGGUUAACUAGAAUAGUUGUAAAACUCCUUGGCUCAACCAAAGUGUGUUUGGGGUGAGGAAGGAGUGAGCCUUCACUUGUACAUCUUGGUUAGCAUCGCCAUCAAUUGAAGAGGCUAUUGGAUUGAUAUUUGGUUUGCAUUUCUUAUCUUUUCUCUUUAAUUAAGUUUUCUUUAUUGUGCUUAAAUUUGAUAUAUUUUUGUGCAUCAUUGUGAAAUUGUUUGUACUCAUUGGGUUGCACCGGGUCUUACAUACUCUAUUUAUGAGGGAUACCAGAAUUACAUAGAAGAUGAUGCACUAAAACGAGCUACACGGUUUUAUCCUCCAUGAAUAAACAAGGCAAUGUCUAGCCAACCCAAUGCUCUUUAUUUUAGCUUCCUUAUGUUUUUGAGUUUUUAUUAAGUGUUAGUUGCAUUUAGUGAUUUGUUAUUUUUGGUGGCAGGAAACUGGCAGUUAGACGUGCCCACGCUAAGUGGUCACGUCUAAGGAAGGAAGUUUGGAAUUGACAGACAGAAAACUCUCCAGUAGUUAGGCGUGCCCAUGCCAGAUGGUCACGUUUAAGGGAGGCAAUUCUCAUCUACGGUUAGAAGACUCUCUGGUAGUUAGGCAUGCCCACGUCGUGUGAUCACGGUUAAGGAACUCAAUUUUCGAAAAUUGGUCAGAAGACUCUCUAGUAGUUAGGCGUGCCCACACUAGGUGGUCACGCUUAAGGAUCUUCAUUUCGGACGGUUGGUCAGAAGACUUGAAGGCAGUUAUGCAUGCCCACGCCUAACAUAGGGGUUCCUUUCUUAAAAAAAAAAAAGAAAAAAAAAGCCCCAUGGUUCUUCUUUCUUUCUCUCUUUUCUUCUUCUCUCCCUUUCCUUUUUAUUCCUUUCUUUUCUUCUCCAGCCACAAGACCGUAACCAAAGGACCUCAAAUUCCAUCGCUACCGUUGCGCUGCUCAUCGUGGGUCGUCGAUUCUUGAUUAUCACUGCUUAUCGUGCGUAAUUCUUCCUCAUCCAUCGUGAGCCACCCGACAUCCUUAGCUGCCGAUCAUAGCCUUCAUCUUCAUCAAUUUUGCCCUCAAGCUUUAUAUGUCUUGUGCCUCUAAUCUACAGCUAUGCCACAACCCCCCUUUGAUGAUCAAGAAAGUUUCAUUGUCCCUUUUUGUUUUGAAUUUUAUUCUUUAUUGCUUACAUUAGGGACAAUGUAAGAUUUAGGUGUAGGGGGAGUAGUAUAUCGGUGUUUUAUUGAAAAAAGUGCAAGUGUAGGCAUUUUUAUUGGAAUUUUUUUGUUUGACUUUGUUGAAUUUUAUCCAAUUUUUGCCUAUCUUUGUGCAUAUUUGUGAUUAUUCCUGAUAAACGAUGGUUAAAUAUCUCAAAUUUUUCUACUGCCAAGAUUUUAUACUCUAAGGUGUUAGGUAUGACAUGGUUAAAUUAAAGGGUAUCUCUUUGGUGAAAUUUGAGACUUUGUGACUUUUGCACUUUUUGGUUAACUUUUCUAAGUAUUGUAAAUAUUUGUCUAGCAUUUUUUGUGCAAAUUGGUUCAGCUAUUAAUCUUAGUUCUCCAUGUUUAAGAAAUGAAGCGGGCUUGUGUGAUUUUUAAUUUUAAUUUGGUACUUAUUUAUGAAUAGUAUUCGGCUAUACUUCACUAGUAUCGUUGCUUAGUAACCGGAGGUCUUCACCAUAAGUGUCGACUUUCGCAUCAAAAAGCGACGAUAACUAUGAGUAUGUGGUUUUUAAGCGAUGAUGACUGAGUAACCGGCCUCCUUCAUGUGGCCAAUAUCGGAGUUCGUGUCAAAACGCUUGAAUGGCUAAAAACUAAACAUUCCCCAGAAAAAAAAAUCAAUCAAGUGUGGGGAUCUUUUAGAAAAAAGUUCUAAUAGUGAAAAAUGUGAAAAUGUUUGGAUGAAUUGUUAGCCCCCUGAUCCAUGAAUUUUAAUGUUGAGAUUUUGCUUACUAGUCGAACCAUUUGCUUAUGGAUGUUGGUUGAAUAUUUUAUAUUCUUAGAUUAGUUAGUCAUAAAUUGAAAGAGUCUUUAAUCUUCAAAGCUAACUGGAGAGAUAUUUCUUGAAAAAUUGCCACUAAUACUUGACAUAUGUUUUGAUUAUAUCUUGGCAAUAGAAGAUUUGAGUAAUACUAUUGUUUGAAUUUAAUUACUUGAUUUAUGUUCUCAUGCUUGAGGACAAGCAUGGUUUAGACGUGGGGGAAAUUGAUAGGUCAUAAUUUAUUGCUAAAUUAAUAAUUAUUUUUUCCUUGAUUUUAGCAAAAUAUUAUUUUAAUUAAUAAAUUCUACCUAUAUUUGGUUAAUGGUGCUAAUUGUAAGAAAAAUGAGUAAAAUAUGAUUAAAAAGUGAUAAAUUUUCAGUUAAUUUGAUGGUGGUAUGUUCGGGACCUACAUUCAAGACCAAAAAGUCGGGAUUGAUAUUAGGCAAUCUCCAAAUCCGAAUCAAUUUCCUAAUUUGAUAGCUAUCAGGACCUUUCUGACUUCAGGGGAUCAUUCUCAAGUGAUUGGGAGAGUUUUUAGGAAAUUAAAUUGUAAUAGGAAACAAAUUCCUUUAAUUUCGUGACUACCAAUGGGAGAUGAGGAAUUAGACUCCCAGGAGUUCUGCUUGGCUUUUUAAUUUCCAUUUGGCUUUGCUAUGUGGGGACCAUUGAGAGAAAGCCACGGGGGGUGGACCCUUGUAUUUGGGCUUUUGGCUAAUUUGGGGGUUGACCAAGACAAAAAGGAAAAGAAGGAAAACUUUUCUCUCGUAUGCUUGGAGGAGCUGCCAUUAUUGACUUAUUUUGGCUCUUGCUUUUACUUUUGUUAGACAACAAUUGAAGGUUUCAACAGUUUUUUCGCAUGAUUAUUCUGCAUUAAUGGAGGACUAACCUCCUAAUUCUUGUCAAGGGGAUAAUUGAAGAUUUGGUUCAAUAAUUAUUGUGAUAUCUAAAUUAUUUUAACUGCUUCCUCUAUUUAUUGGUAUUCGUAUGUUUUCUGCUUUUAAUUAUUGUUAUAGCUAUCGUGUAUGAUUGAAUAGAUGUGUAAUAUUUAAUUAUUCACGUAGGCUAUUGUGUUAAUUAGAAGUAAUUGAAUCCGUAAUUGUUCAUUAUCUCUAUCUAAGUAGCAACUGGCAUAAUUGGAUUUAUGUCAGAGGAACAUACGAUCUAACUUAAACAAAAUCUCGUAGCGUGUUUGUUAGUUAGAAUUAGGCCUUUCUAAUUAUUAAUGCAAACCAGAAAUUAAAUCCUAUGGUCGUAUCUGACAGGUUGUCGAAGCCUGUGCAAUAAUAAAAACCUGCUCAAACUAAAUGUAAUUUCUGUAGAUAGCGGUGAGCAGGGUCGAAUCCACAGAGACUGGGAGUAAUUAUUUCUUUUCAAACUCACAGUGACAAGGGAGUGUUUUUGUGCAGAGAGUGACAAUCAAAUAAAUGCAAAUAAAAUCCAAGGAACUACUAAAAAUUAAAUAAUAAUUUACUAAACUUAAAUGAAUGAUAACUAAGGCUCUAGCCAAGAAAUAACUUCAUCAAUGAUUCACCGAAUUGAUCAUCGAUGCAAAGCCAACUCCAAUUAUUUAUCAAUAAAUAGGUUAUAACUACCAAACAACCGAUGACAGUUAACCCCUCCUUACUGUGUCGGUGAUUAAGGUACGCCCGUUAACCACUGCUCUAAUUAAGGAAUAAUCUUAGGUACGCCCGUAAGAUUUAAUUCCCCAAUUGCCUUACGUAUUAGAGGAGCCCUAUUCUAACCAAAUAACACACUACCAGGAUUAUUUUAGAUUAGCCCGCGUAUCCCCCUGACACGAAUCUAAUCGUGCCAGUUGUCACUAUUUCAGGACACAAUUACGGAUUUAAUGCCCCAAUCGACAAUAGAUUACCAAAUUAAUUAAUUAUCCGGAUCCAAGACAAUCAAUUAAUUAAAUAACCAUAAGCAUAGCAAUCAAGAAAUAUGCGGAUACCAAUAAAUAAAAAGAAAAAUUAAAUUAAAACGAUCUCACAAUUUUUAGAUGAACCAGAGCCUUCGUUGCUCUUUAACUAGAGUGGUGAAAUUAGUUCAUAAUUGAUGCACGAAACCACCGAAAAUUGAAGAAAGAACUGCGGCCAUCAAGGGUGAUAAAUUCACUUCGUUCAAAUUUUUACCAACGAAAAACAAGCUACAAGAAGUAAAUUCUGGCCUCCACUUUGCCUACACAUACGGAGGAAGAGAAAGCUACUAAGUGCUGAAGAGAAGAAAAGUCAAAGAAACCACUUCUAAAUGCUGCCUGACUUUCGUCAGAAGUAUUCCACUACCACAAGCUAAAGAAGAAAAGUCAAAGACGGAGGAAAAAGGUAAAAAGCCAUAGUGCUAGUUCUCUGCAUUCUCUAUUCUAUAUAAUGUCUGACAACUAUUCUCCCCCUAAUCUCUUCUGAAGCUCUCUUUUUCUCAAUUGCGGCGGCACAUCAGGAGAACGAAGCCCUCUAGCUGUCCUUCCCUCACGGAAUUUACCACAAUGGACGUACUAUCUUCUUUUUCAGAAAUACCCCUGGGGCAAGCUCUAUCAUCUGGACUCAUUUUCUAUCAAAUUGGCACCUGUUAUCGUAUUUUCGUUUUAUUCCCUGAAAUAAGUGCAAAUUAAGAAAAAUGAGUAGAAUCCAGCAAUUAAUCCACAUCAAGUCAGGUAAUAGGAGAAAUUAAUAAUAAAAUAAAUAGUGAAAUUGCAACCUAUCAGUAUCUAGGGUUGUUUCCGGGUUAGAGAAAUAGUUAACGGUCGUAUCUUAACUAUCGAAAAAUUAAGGAAAGGUUGAUUGUUUAUUGCGUGCAUGACAACUAUAACUAGUCUAUUAAUAAAUGUUAGAAUUAUCUGUGAAUCGAUGAUCAGUGCAUGAACCACUUCUGAAGUGUACCCUUGGUUAGAGUUCUCCCAAUUAAUUAUUUUGCAUAUUUAAUUUAUUUAGUUAGCAAUUCAUUAACAUUUAAUCCCAAAAACCACCCAUUAAUCUUGACUCGAAAAGAAACAAAUUUCUCUCCAAUCCCUGAGGAGACGACCCUAGUUGCCACUGUUUACUAGUUAGCGAAUUCAGUCAAAUAAUUAAUCUUGGUAUAUCGGAUUAAGCAAACUCUUCGGGAUAUGGUGAAUCAAGUAACUACUUGCACACCUAGAGUCCCUGCUCCAGUACUAGAAUUGAUUAUUGACUGCUUCAGGUUGUAGUUAGGUUUUAUUUAUUAUUAUUGCACAGGUUCGGCACCUGUCAAGGGGUCCAUGUGCAGAAUUCGAUAGAUUGAUGUAGAUACUGUUCUGGUUCUUUAAUUCAAGUUUUAGCCUUUACGGGGGCAAUGUUGUAGUUGGGAGAAGAUUUCAUGCACAAUGCAUAACUGAUCUCUGGCCUUGCGAUUCUAACUUGCCCCAUUUUUUAUAUUUGUACAACUAUAUUUAGGUUUUUGGGACCUGAACAAUUUUGGGCUAAUUGAUAUAUGUCGCAAGAACAUUUUCAUAUUCUCUUGUGGUUAAAUUCAAAAAUAUUAUACACAACUAAUGAAUUGAUAAGGCUUUUAUAGUGUUGUAUUUAUCACUUAGGUUAGCAGCGAAACUGCCUCAAUAUUGGCUGGCUGAUCUCAAGCAGUUUGAUCAAAGUAUCAAAUCAAGUAGUUUGAUUAAGAAAAUACUCCCAAAACCCCAUGAUAUGUAGACAUACUUUUUAACAUUAGUACUGAUCGUCUAUUUUAAAUCCCUUCAAGAAAAAUAUCAUAAUUAAUAUCUACUUACAUAUGAGCUCGAUCAGAUCCGAUCAAUGCAAGCGGAGGUCAUCUCCAUCUCUUAUCAUGCAAGGAAAUUCCUCAAUUUCACUCCCAAAUUUUAGUGUAGCAUAAGGAGAAAUAUUAACAAAUCUCGCCUUCUCCAGAUCUAGCAAGUAUUUCUUCUGUGGAAUAUUCAAUUAUUCAACAAACGAAUGGAGCAAGAAAGAAAAGAUUAACAAUUAACAACGUAGUGGUGACAGUAGUGUAGGAAUUACGUGAAAGUUGCAUCUCGGUUUGGAAAAGCAAAGAAUUUUUUUUAUUCAUUACUUUAUGGUUUUUGAAUGAAUUAUUUCACUCUCAUUUUGUAGCUAAAAAGCACCAGUGUCGGCAUUGUCCAAUAAGAAAGGGACCCUUUUUUCUUAAACUUUAAAAGAUUUUCGCUUUCCAUAAGGUAAGACUUUCUUGGAAUUUUCGAGAGAAAAAGAGCAUAUAAGGGGCCAAAAAAAGAAAGGAAAAAAUUAAAGUCGAACAGAAAUUUUGAUUAUCACAAAAAUAGUUUCUUUCAUUUUCAAGUGAAAGGGAAAAAGAGAAUGAUAAUUUAUAAUUAGCUUUAUUUCGCUUUUUUUUUUCCCUUUUUGUUCAAAAUUCAAACAUUGUUGUUCAGUAUGCAUGCUCCAAAAAUCAAUCUUAUAAUCCAAAAAUCAAUUGCUAGUUUUUAUUUUCAAAAGAAAAUAGUAAAAUGACUUCAAUAGAGAUUUUGGUUUGAUGGAAUCUUUGACUUGAGUUUAUAUAACUACUGACAAGGGCUUGAAGCCAUGAACAAAGAGUAAAGACGAGCGAGCAUCAGUCCGCGAUUACGUUUCACGGGUCCGGUGUCCUUUCCGCCUAACAGAUUUGUAACCCGAACUAGUUCUAUUGAUUCGACAUAAAUCAUUACUGUGUCCAUAGUCAUAAAGUACUCGAAUGACCGGGUAUUUGGCUAACUGGUUCACGGACCCGGAGUUUUUACCAGACUCGGUACCAAAGUUUAAAAAAAAAAAUCAUAUUUUUACCAGACUCCUAGUAGAAUUAAGGAUAUUGCUACAACUCAAAACUAAUUUAGCGGGAGCUUUAGCAGAAUCAAUCUUAGUAGCAGGUGGAAAUUUCCAACCCAAGAUAUCGGUGACCGUCAUCAUAUAGCACAUAAUUUCACGGUUGGAAUAUUACCAUCUAUAACUUGAGAAACAGAGACUUUAAAAAUUAUUCAAAUCUCAUGGGCUCAAACAUAAAUUGUUAAUCAAUUCUGUCAAAAUGAUGGAGUUUGAACCUCAAAUAGAAAAAAAAAAAAAAAGAUAACAAAGUUCCUUGACAGCAAAUUGACACAUGUUUGAAAAGAAAUAGCACACAACCAUCACUAAAUUUGGCAAAACGAAAUUACACAAAAUAUGCCAACAGCAAAAUGUCUUAGUAACCUUUACACUGCCGUGCAAUUGAUAAAAUGGUGCACGGUGUACAAACCUCAUUGAUUGUUUCCACCAUAUCUUGACAAGAAAAGAGCCAUGAUCCUUUCCGCCAUAUCUUCCACAAAAGCACCAAAGAAAGCCACAGAUAACCAAUUACAAUCUCAAGAGGAAAAACCACUGUAGCAGUCCCUCCCUGAUGAUAUCAUUAACAAAAAUUAGAGCAAUAAUUAGUUGUUUGUUCAUCAAUUUCAAUGUGCUCGUGCAUGUAUUACAGGCAACUGAAAUACAAAAAUGCUACCAAAAGGUAAAUAUAAAUUAAACUCCUUUAAAUGAAAAAAGCAUGAUUAUUUCUACAAGCCAAUUAAUGGUAAUGACAAAAAAAAUUACCUGAUAUCGCAUCAGCUGAUGCCCUUCAAUAUUUUCCAUAAAUGAUCCUCAGAUUCUCAUUUCCAUUAUAUUUCUGUGCUUCUUCAAUUUCCCGUACUAAGCAGGCAUUAUUUCCAAAUAAGAAAUUCUGUGGAGUUUUAAUUGCUGAAGGCACGGGAAGUAAUCAUCACUGUCAAGGUCUGUCUCUAUCCACUCAACAAUCGCUACAUAUUCCAAAGUCAAGACCCUGAGUUUAGGGAAUCCUCCUUCCAUCAGCUCCCAUUUUUGGCCCUCCAUUGACUGGACUCUUAAUUUGAGGACUUCAAGAUUGGGUAGUUGUUCAAUCAAUGACAUUUUUCUACAGGGAAGACCCAGAGCUUCAAGACUCAACUCUUUCAAAUUCAUGGGAAAAGAAAGCUCAACAUGUUCCUGUGAACCUAAGAAGCUGUAGCCCCCUAAGUUGAGUGACUCUAGCAUUCUAGUCGACUCAUGUUGCAGCAUACUCUGUUUUGAUCCCCCAAAUGGAAAAUUUUAAGUCGGCGAACGUUGGAAUCCUUCUCAACAGUUUCUCUCCUUCUUUAUCAAGAUAAAGACGCAGAGUAGAGAGUGUGUCUAAAUUGGGUAAAGUAGAGAGGUU
rnacentral:lncRNA from 1 species